AGUUACUCUUUUUCUUUAGCCUUCUUGUACUUAAAACUCUUUGAGAUUUGCUAGAAAGAAAAUCUCCACCUUCUGCUUCUCCUUUUUCUAAAUAGAUUUAUUGCCAUUAUGAAAUUCUAAAUGACCCUCCCCCCUCCCCCCCAAACUUGCCCCAUAGUUUUCACCUCAUUCACAAUGAAAAGUUGUCCAAAAUUUUGUGAUGCUCUCAUGACUUUAUCAAUAUCAACAUUUAGCAUUUGCCUCAAGUUUACACCCAUUUUUAGCGGUUCUUAUGGCUCCCUAAGGGUUUAAAGAUUGGUUGGUAUUUCGACUUUGCUUUCCGUUUGUUCAUCUUAUUCUUCUUUUUAAUUAUAUUUCUUUUUCUUCUUUAUUUUUGUAUAUUUCAUGUUUUUGUUUUCUUUUCAAAGCUUUCAGCAAUAUAUUUUGCUAUUAUCACUACAGGAUUAAAAAGCUUGGCCACCCAACAUUAAUCUUUUCAACGGUUUAAUUUACAAUGAUCUGUUAAUAUUUAUCAGAAAAUUUACAUACGAUAAUAGCGUUUGAGCAUUUGAUCUUUUGUCUUUAUACCACGGUGAAUUAAUUUAGAACUUCAGUGUUUUGUUAAAUAUCUAGUCUCUUAAUCUUCUUAAUAGUUAAUGUAAAGUGUUUUUUGCUCUCGUCGAAUGAGAAAUUUCCGAUUAAUCCUAAAUUGUCUAAAACCAUCUAUUUUGGUUCAAUUAAGAAAAAAAAGUUAUUUUAACCAAAAUGCUAAAUAAGACCCAAGUCCAUAUAGUUGGAUGCAAGGGCUUGUGUUCGCCAACCAAAUCCACACCUGCAAAGCCCAUAUGAGAAUCAUAUAAAUAGAUAAGUUUUCUUCAUUUCAAGUUCAAAAGAUUUUACUCUUAAAUAGUCUAGAGAAUUCUCCCAACAAAUAGAAGAUUUCAUAGUUCCUGAAGUGAACUACAUCAAGUAAGCAUUCAACCGAGAGAGAAUCAGAGGUCUAAGUACUAGAGAUCGAACCACACUCGCAUCAAACCUGAAUCUACACGAGUUUAACUCCAUGAAACAUGUUUCUUCGUAAACCUUGUGUGUGAAUAAAUUAGCAUGUCAAUUGGGACAUUUCUACCUGCAAUCUCUCUUUCAAAAUCCAAAUAAAAGAAUCAAUCAAUGACAAUAAAGAAAGUUGUAUCCAAAGAAACUGUUGCAAGUGACUUCUGCAUGAGACUUGAUAUCCAGAGUUAUUCAAAGAGGAUAAUGCAAGAACAAGGUUCUAUUCUCACAAAGAAAAGUUGGAAAUAACUAGUCUACUAAAGAAGAGAUUGUCGUAAGAAAGAAUCCUUUAUUUGACAAUUCUGUUUUUGCUUCUGAUCUACCAGAGAAAGAAUCACACCUUGAAAUAGUGUCUGUCAUGAUGACAUUAGUAAUAUUUGAGGCAGUCAUGGCAAAGAUAGAGAGAAAAAUAGAUCUCCUAAUGAAAGCUAUAUGAAGGAGCGAGAUCAUGAAAUCGUUGUCUUGAGAGAUCAAAUAAAGGCUUGUGAAAUUGUUGAGUCGAGUCAAACUUCUCCUAUCAAAGCUAAUGAUAGAGGAAAUGUUGUGUUGCAAGAAAACCAAGUGCAACAAUACAUCUUUAUCGCCUCCUUAUCAGUUCAACAACUAUAUAAUAUGAUUACAAGCUCCAUAUGGGCUUAGUAUGGAGAACCACUUUUAUGUAUUCCAAACCACAUACUAGGAGAAUCGAUGACUUGAAAAUGCUUGUUGGAAACCAACAUCCACAGUUCCAACAAUUCAAUGGAAAGGGCACUCCAAAAGAACGCAUUGCUCAUUUUGUUGAAACAUGCAAAAAUGCAGGGAGCAGAGGAGACCAACUGGUCAGACAGUUUGUUUGAAGCUUAACAGAAAAUGCUUUCGAGUGGUAUAUCAAUCUAGAGUCGAAAGUGAUUGAUAGUUGGGAGCAACUAGAAAAAGAGUUCCUCAACCACUUUUAUAGCAAUAGACCCAUCGCCAGCAUGAUGAAGCUAACAAACACCAAACAACAUAAGGGAGAGCCAGCCAUUGACUACAUAAACCGAUAAAUAGCUUUGAGUUUGAAUUGCAAAGAUAAAUUGGUCGAAACUCUUUGUAGUGGAGACGUGGACCUAAGGCAUGCAUUGAGAGCUUAUCUACAUCUUGUAGGGAAUAAGGCCCCACAUGUUUGAAGAGUUGGCAACUUCCGCCGAUGAUAUAGAGCUAAGCAUUGCCAAUAGGGGAACGAAAGUUUUCCUAAUCUCUUAAGGAAAAAAAAGGAAAGAAGGAAAUCAAAGGAAUUGGAGGGAUUGGAGACAGCGCCAUAAAAUAAUCUAUGGUCGUCCAUACGACCCUACUAAAAUUUUCCUCCAAAAAAAGAGAUCAAAGCUAAAAGGAGAAAUGACAGAGAGAAGCAUCAUCCAAUUCUUUAAGAAAGGUAGAAAAAGAUUUAACCAUUUCUUGGUUCAAAUAUUGCAGACAUGUUAGAACAUAUACUAGAGAAGCAACUUAUUCAACAACUAGAAUAUAAACCAUUGGAGCAAGAAGGAAAAGUAGAUAAUUCCAACUACUACAAAUAUCAUCAAAUCAUCAAUCACACAAUAGAGAAAUGUUUUGUGCUGAAAUAGCUAAUUCUAUGGUUGGCUCAUGCUUGUUUUAAUAUGUGCAUACAAUUGUUCAUGGAUAUGUUCUAUUAAGUUCUAAGUGAAUGACUUAUGAGGAAACUAGACUAGGAUGAGAUGUGGUAAAAGAAACAAAUUCUAUAUAUGUGUUGCUAAACUUCUCAUAAUUUACGUGUAAUACAAGUUUUUCUCUCUAUCGUCUAAGUGUAAGCGAAGAGCGGUUUCCUGGAAAGUCCAAGGUCAAGCACAGAAAAUUAAAGUUCCUAUUAAACCUAUCGCGCAACUAAACCUAUGUUGUAUAUUCUAUAUAGUCUGAAUAUGAACAAUAUACUUCUACCUUAACUAUAUACACUAAGAUGUAUUUGGCGGUGCAAGGUAAUCAUAGCAAUAGAUAAUGAGGUCAAGUUGCAGGCACAAGAUGAAGGAAUAUUUAAUUAACUGAUCGUAACGUAUUGUGUAUUAAUAUUUUGAGGUGAUACAAAGCAUCUAUUAACUUCAGAAUUAAGGCAAGCAUCCUUUCAACACCUUACCAUACUUGCUCGCUUCUUGGGAUUCAAAUAUUUAAAGUUAAGGUAUGAUUUGCAUCUGAUUAGUUUGUUUACAUUUCAAGUAAUUUAUCCUAAUUUAAGGUGAGUAACCUUUCGGUGCUUUCACCACACAUGUUAACGUUUUUGCAAUGUCACACCUCGCCUCACAUGCGUUCUUACUUGCCAUGCGAGACGCUGUAUAACUUGAGUAUUCGGACACAUUUAAACAUCAAAACACUCAACUUGAGGUCCUUUAGCUUUACUUAAUCGCCUAGUUUCUUAAACUUAACUAAAAUGAUAUACUUUAGGCUAUAAGAAUAAUUAACAUGAAGGGGAUAAUGAAUAACUCAUUUAUUAAACUUUACUAAGCGUUUUACAAAAGCUUUACAAGAUUACAUAAACACAACUCUUAAGACUUAGAAAGUAAAACGCCUAAUAGUUCUUUUCGCCUAGCAAGCCCUUCAUCCUUUUCCUUACUUGGUCUUAACACAUGAAACCUGGAAGGUAAUCUUUAAAACGUAAGUCUAAAAGACUCCAUGCGCUAGGUUUUAUGAAAACCUUUUCGCAAACUGCCUUUCGUAAACAUUAUUUUGCCAAACAUAUCAUUUUGCAUAAAUACAUCUUUUCAUAUUAAUAUAAUAAAUCAGAUAAAUAAUUUCACAAUAACACACAUUAGUCAACAAUCAUUCCUUUUGCCAAUGACCUAAAUCAUUAUUCUAUGCAAAGACUCAUCAUCUCAAGUUUAAACUACUGAGAUGGCCUUCUCAUUAUCAACAUCCAAUAAUAUCCUGAUUCAUUUCUUGUUGCUCGGGCCGAGAUACAAUGUACAUCUUUUAUGAUGGAAAAUGUAGACAUGCGCAACAAAAUUAUGAUCAAAUUUUUACUCUGAUUGCAACUUAAACACUUUAGUGAUUAACAUGCAUUACAAUCCUUAAAUGAAACCAAAUAGGGUUAAUAGAAAAACUCACUUUUGAUGUUUUUCUUUUCUUGUAAUCUCCUCACGUGCUUUUAACGAUCUCCUCACGAAAUUGAAGCCGGAACUACCACUAGCGUUGACUAGCUAUUCUCCAAAUUUAGAAUAGAGUUGUGAGACUAAAAAAUGGUGGAGGAAAUAGAGAUAUCUGAUAUCCUUUGGAGGAACCUAACCUUUAGGUUUCUUUUUUCGUUUUAAUUUUGUUUUAAUUUUUUUGAUGUUCCAAACUUCAAAUGAAAAGAGUUCUUGGUUUUAUUUUGUAAUUCUCAAUUACAAAAUUAAUUUUCAAUUUUUAAAUCUAAGAGUCAUUUCACCUUUGCUUAAAACUUGUUUACAAGCAAACUUAUGAGCUAGCGGUUUCUCUCUCUUAAAUCACAUUUAAAUCACAUUUAAACAUGAAACUCUAUCUUAAGUUAUAACUGAUGACUAUGUCAGAUAUAUUUGUCGGUUUCUCUCUCUUUACCUAAUUCGAACAAUUCGAAUUAUUCCAUCAUAAUAUUCUAAGUUGAUUUCUUAUGAGCUAGCGGAGGAUCCUUAUGGACCUAUAGAUCAUGGGCUCCAACGAUCCGAGAUUAACUGGCUAAACUCUUUAGACCGAGUUAAUAAACCUUCGUUAACUAACGGGUCAUUCCACUAAAGUCCUGUAGUUGCACUCCUCUCAUUAUAGAUAUAUUUGUGUUCAUGUGAUAUGACCAUGAUAAGUAAGUUAAUCAUUCACAGGUUGUUUAUAAUCUCAGUUGGGUCAAAGUACCGUUUUACCGUCGAGAUUAUAUCUUUUCUCCUUAAGUCCCACCGAUCCACUAUUGAACAAUUAGUUUAAGGUCCAACGUUUAAACCGAAUCCUUCUUAGGCCAAUGAGAGGGUGGGACCCCUUGUUCAAGACUUGGAUUCAGUCCUUAAGGGAACAAUCUAUCUACUAACCCUAGAGUGGGUAGGAGUGAAUUUCGUCUUGCACCCUAUGUCCCUAGCUAUCCACCCAAUCUUACCCCAAAAUGAGAGGCUUAUUGGGCCAGUGCCAUUGAGCUGCCCUCACCUAUGCAUAUAUAAGAAUAAGUUCGUGUGAACAGAAGUUCAUAGUUAGCUCAAGAUUAAGAUUAAGUUAUAUUGGAUAUCUAUAAACAAAAUAGUCAGUUUUAUUAAAGUCAACGGUGUUAUAACCUAAAAGCGACUAUUUCUAUGGUUCCAGUCUUAUGUAAACUCUUUACAUAGGAUGCCCCCAUUUUCAUGACUUUACAUGAACGAUUCAUGAUCACAUCGUUUAUACUAACUAUAAAGCGGGUCAUAUCCAUAGUGUCCAUAGACUCCCCAGAACAAGGUGUCCAACUAUAUUCCUAUACUAUAGACUAUUUAGGCUAUAUACUCGAACUUGAUCCACAUUUAUGUCUCUACAUACAGUUCAAGUUUACUCAAUAAUAGACUUGGGACAUUUUUUUAUUGUCUUUAAGAUUAUAAUAUCAAUAACGAUUUUAUUGAAUAAAAUAUUAUUAUAAACUGUGAGUUUUAGGACAUAAAUUCCAACAUUUUAUACAAUUUCUUGCCUCAUGUCACAAUGCACAUCUUUUAUGCAUGGCUACCUUUAUUCUUUAUGUGCAUAUAACAAUUAGCUCAUUUAUAGGAAGUAGACUAAUGGUUUGAACAACAUUUCAUAAACAUUGAUACAUGUAAAACAUACUUCAAAACAUAGCAUAAGCUUUCCAUAGUAAUCUCUUGAAAACAUUCGUAUUGAAAUAAGUAUUUCAAACCAAUAAACACUUUAUUAAGAAGGCUUGAAAUCAUGUAAAUCACUUUGAAGAAACAUUCCAAAACAUUCCCAAAACAUUCCCAAAACAUAGCUACGGUUUUUUGUUAUACGACUGACGCUGAAGCGUGGUUAAAUCUGUUAGAGAAGUGUUUAAAAGUGAUGGACUGUCCCGAAGAGAAGAAAGUCAAGUUAGCAACUUUCCUACUGUAAAAGGAAGCAAAAGGAUGGCAAAUUUCAAUUAAAGCUAGAAGAAGAGAUACAAAUACCAUGAGUUUGAUAGUUCGAGGACUAUUUGAAGAUAAAUAUUAUUCCAAGGUCUAUUGUGAAACAAAGAGGGAUGAAUUCCUAAGAUUAAGAUAAAAUUCACUGUCAGUGGCUGAGUACAAAAGAAGGUUAUAACAAAACUCUCUUGAUAUGUUGAACCAAUUGUGGCAUCCGAAAGUGAUAGAUGCCAACAAUUCGAGAAAGGACAUAGGCAAGAAAUUCAGACUCCAGUAACAACAACAUCAAAGUGGGAGGAUUUUUCACAGUUUGUUGAAACUACUUUAAGAGUGGAACAAAGUUUAUCAUCAAGAAAGUUUGAUGGUACGGAUUACCAAACUGAUUAGAAAAUAAGCUAUCAAGAAAGGAAUCAAGAAACUAAAAAGAGCUUUAGACUUGAAAUAUCGAAAGGAAAUAAUUUUAAGAAUGGAUUCAAGAAAGGAAACUCGUUCCAGUCUCUAAACUUAUAAAACAGUUAUCAGAGGUCGAUUGCAAGCAACAAUAAUAAACAUGUUUGUGGAGAAUGUAAUUAGUACCAUCUUGGACAAUGUCUCAAAGGAGGAGACAUUUGCUUUCGAUGUAAGCAAUCAGAACAUUUUGCGAAAAAUUUUCCUUUGAUGAAUAGAAGUCAACCAAGUGAUCAAGGUACUAUCUCUUUAUCUGUAAAUCAACCAAAAAUAACUCCGAGAGGAGAAGGAACUAGCAAAUAUGAAAUAAAAAGGAGUUAUGAGAAAUUAAGAACUAUUGUGUUAUAAGUAUGUAACAAGUUCUAUGUUAUGUAAAUAAAAGUAUCAUUUUAUGUUUAUUGCUUGAUAUUUAAAAUUUUGAGGACAAAAUUUCUUAAGGGGAUAAGAAUUGUGAAACUCAAAAUUUCUUUAACCUUUGGAAUUUGUUAAGCUUAGUCAAGGUCAAGAGAAAAUGAAAUUUAUGGAAAAAAAGGUAAAAAAUACUUGAAAUUUAGAUUUUAAGUUGAGGAAAAGAGCAAAGUUGAAAAUUUUGACAAGUGUCAAAAUUAAGUCAUUAGUCGUUUGGAGGUUGUAUGAUGACAAAGGAAGGCUAAGAAAAACCUCCAAAAAAGCGUCAUUUGGUGACAAAAGGAGGCUUGAGAACCUCCAAGCAUAGACGCUUGAAAUGGUUUGGGCGGCCAAAAGAAGGAAAACAAUCUCUAAAGGGGUUAACUAUUCCAUCUUCGAAAGAAGGGGUUAAAUACUGCCAGUGGUUGUGGAGAUCUGUCUUCGAAAAGUUAUGCAAAUGUUAUAAGUUUCAUGUUGUGAUCGUUUACUGAUAAAUGUCUUCAAGCUUCGAUUUUAUACUAAAAUACUUAUAAGACUUGUUUUAUAAAAUCGUACGUUGUUCACCAAGUCUUUCGACUUGUGCUUUCAAAAAUGUUUGACCUCUUUCCAGGUAUAGAUUGUGGGUCUCUGUAUGCUGAACUUACUGCUGGCAGGCCAACUUAGUUUUCAUUAUGCAAGGACAUUGUUUUGUUUCAAGAUAGUAAUGUGAUUGUUCAAAUAUUUUGUAUCUUCAUGUUAUGUUCAUUUUCCAUGAUACAUUUUAUAAAAGAUUUUAAAUGGGUCACACUACAGUUUAAAGUAUUUCAAGUGAAAAGACUUCUGCUAUUGAUUGUUUCACGUUUCCAUGUCAUGUGUUAGUUUAGGUUGCUCUGGAGGCGCAUGGCUUCAGCUGACAUCAGGUCACAUCACGAGACAAGCAAACAGGUGGCUGAGAUGGGGUGUGACACACAUGAUACACUCAAUAUACAUUUGGUACACAUGAUACACAUAUAUACAUAUUUAUACACUUGAUACAUAUGUUAUCAUAAAAUAUAAAUGAUGAAAAUAGCCAAAUAUUGUAGACUUUUACUUUAGUGGCAAUUAAGUGAAUAUGCGUAAUGACAUUUGGGUAAAUAAAACAAUUUGACAGUUUUGGGAAGUUGAUCUUUAUAAAUUGUAGGGUAAAAAAAUUAAAAGUGAAAUACUUUUUUAAGGGGUGUGUGCAUUUUAAGUCAGGAGUGAGUUAUUAUAGUCCUAGAUUAUUAUAGUUGAGUUAUAAUAAUUUGUGUUUAGAGUGUAGAUUAUUUUAGUUGGUUUAUAAUAGUAUUUUUUUUGUGGUUUCUAUAUAUUUUUAUAAUAUAUAUAAAUAUUUUAACAAAAAUUCAAAAUCCUUUAUCAUAAAUCCUAAGAUAUGGUAUAUCUAUGGUAUAUCAAGUAUAUAAAGUAUAUAAAGUGUGUCUCGAAUGUGUAUACCAAAUAUAUAUCAAAUCUGUCAAGUGUAUUAGAAUGGUGUCAAGUGUAUCAAGUAUAUAUCAAAUUUCUAUUGUGUGUAUGAAAGUGAAUAUCAGUAAUGUAUCAAGUGUAUAUUAGUAAUAUAUCAAGUCGUGUCGAAAGCAUCAAGUGUAUAUCAAACGGUAAAGUGUAUAUUAGGUGUAUCACAUGGGUUCGACUAAUUAAGUCUGUCUUAUGGCAAAAAAAAAAAAAAAAAAAAAUCGAUGGGUAUUUAUGUGUUAAAAGAUCUUUUUCUGACACUUUUUGGUAUAUAUCCCGACGAUUUUGGGCGUCGGGAGAUCCCCUAUUUCUUGUGUAGUGCUUGUGUUUUGCCAUCUUCGUAAAAAAAUUAGUCGUUCUUAUGAGCUUAAUUUUUAAAACUUAUUUUGCUUGACAUGUAAGAAGACCAUUAAACUUUGCACAUACUCUCGAACAAAUCCCACGUAUAAUAAUAAAUCUCCUACGUAGCUCAUAGAGAUAAUAUCCAAAGUAGAAAUGGUCAUAAAUAGCAAAUUUUACAAAAAAUUUACAACAUAUAGCAAAAUUUUCAGAUUCUGUCAAUAAUAGACAUUGAUAGACACAAAUUUGCUUCUAUUAGUGACAUUUACAAACAGUGAUAGAACUCUAUUGAUUUCUAUCCUUGAUAGAAUCCAAAAUUUUGCUAUAACUGAUAAAUAUUUUAAUUUAUUUAGCUAUUUUUAAGAAUGACCAUAAAACUAAUAUAUUUCUUAACUUAAUAUUCUAAUUUUAUCUAAACUUUUAAAAUUUUCUUCAUUUUAUUUGUAAACCCACAAAAUCUCUCCUUUAUUUCUAAAUUUUUAAAUUUAUUUUAUCUUGAUCUUUAAAUUUGAAAUUUCUAUUUUGAUUAAUGCUGGCAAACACAAGAAAGAAUUAAGCUCGUGACCUAUUUUGAAAGCUUAGAAAAAAUUAUCUCAUGACAAAUGCUUCUAACUUUAUAUAUAUAUAUAUAUAUAUAUUAUUAUUUCAAUAAUUGCAGGGACGUUUUCAAAAAUAGCAAAAUAAAUUAAAAUAUUUACAAGCUAUAAUUCUAUUAAUGAUAGUCUUCUAUCACUAUAGAAUAUCAAUAACUAUUAGGAAUAUAAUUUGCUAUAGGUUGUAAAUAUUUUCUAAAAUUUGUUAUUUUUGAAAAUUCCUCCAAAUUUUAUUUGACCUCUAAACUAAGGAAGAUGCUCAAAGCAUUUUUUUUUCUCUAAAAUAAAAAGAAUAAGGUAUUAUUGGGUUAAUAAAGAAGAGUACCACCUAUUUAAUAAAGGAAAAUAUGUACGCAUAUUGAUAAUGUCAAUCCUAUUAUUAUGGACAUGUGAAACAUGAUAGAAAAUUAUGUGGGAAAAAAAAAAAGGAAUAAAAAACUUUUCUCUGUCAAUAUAUAAGAAUAUGGUGUACAUUCAAGCAAUCAUCUAACUUAAUCCUUCUAAAAUAUUGAUAGCAAUCUUUCCCAUUUUUUCUUUUCUGAUGAGUAACUCAAACUAUGUAAUCUCCGAGAAUGUCGGAAAAAAUACUCAUCAUCUUCCUGUUAUGGUUGUCAUGGUUCCUUUACCGUUGCAGGGCCAUCUAAACCAGCUCCUCCACCUCUCUCGCCUACUCUCUGCCUUCAACAUCCCUGUUCACUUCGUUAGCACCGCCACACACAACCGCCAAGCGCAACAUCGCAUUAGUGCCAAAAUUAAAAACCAUCUGAUCCAAUUUCAUGACUUUGACUUACCAAUAUUCCCUUCUCCAAACCCCAAUGCAACCCACAAAUUCCCCUCCCAUCUCGUCCCCAUGGUAAAUGAAGUGUUGGUCCACUUUCCUCGCCCUUUCGCUGCCUUUCUUUCUUCACUUUCCCAAAAAGCAAAACGACUCAUUGUCAUCCAUGAUUCCCUAAUGUCAUCUGUGGUUCAAGUCGUAGACUCCAUUGUCAAUGUCGAAUCAUACCUUUUCCAUAGUGUUUCAGCUUUCGUUACCACUCUCCAUAACUUGGAGCGUAAAGGGAUUGUAGUUGGCGAUGGCGACGACGACGAGGAAGAGUGUGAAAGUAGAACAUUUUACAGAGAGUAUGUUUUGAAGGAAUUGAACACUGCUCGUUCAUGGGAAAGCUGGUUUUCGGUGGAGUUUUGGGAUUUAAUUAAGUCACAGUUUGGUCAGCUACCAAAAAAGACAUGUGGACAAAUAUAUAACACUUGUAGAGUUAUUGAAGGCUCGUCUUUGAAGUUGAUUGAAAGAAUUGAAAGUAAGCUUAAUAACUGGGCAUUAGGUCCUUUCAACCCUGUCAAAAAGUUGAAGGUACUACACACAUUUCACUAAUAUGGUUUUUAUAGAUUUUCUCUAUCUCUGUAUACAUUUCACGAAUAUAUAAUCAACCUAAUAGGCUUAGGUGAUCGGUUAAUUAUAUUAAAUUUAUUUAUAUUGAUACUUUCACUUUUCCUUACAAGUGGGUUUGAAGAUUUAUAGGAUAAGUAAAAAUUAGUAAUAACAAGAGUGACAUUAUAAUAGUUGACAACAAAACAUGGCGGAAUCUCUCUCUCGAGCAAGGUAAUGAGAAGGAUCCGGGUCGGACAGGGAAGAAGCCUUAUGAUUUACUCGACUAUUCAAAAACUUAUUAUACUUUAAUAUCAUAUUAAAUCAAAAAUUAACCUAAAAGGGUUAAAAGGUUGUAAUUGAUUAUGGUAAUAUUUUAAUAGUUGUAUUUGGUUAUUUUAGAAUGGGGAGAGGUCAUCGUCUAAGCACAGUUGCAUGUCAUGGCUAGAUCAACAAGAACCAAGAUCAGUGAUAUACAUCUCGUUCGGGACAACAACAACAAUGGAAGACAAACAGAUUAAUGAAAUAGCGAUUGGGUUAGCAAGAAGCCACCAAAAGUUCAUAUGGGUCAUUCGAGAUGCUGAUAAAGUCGAUAUCUUUCACGAAGAUAAUAAUAAAAGGUCCAAGCUCCCAGAAGGUUACAAUGACUUAAUUGGUGAUCGAGGGUUGAUAAUAAGAGAGUGGGCACCACAGUUGGAGAUACUAAGCCACUGGGCGACUGGAGGGUUUAUGACGCAUUGUGGAUGGAAUUCGUGCUUGGAGAGCAUAACAAUGGGAGUGCCAAUGGCAGCAUGGCCAAUGCACUCGGACCAGCCAAGGAACAUGGUGCUUGUGACGGAGAUAUUGCGAGUAGGGUUGGUGGUGAAAGACUGGGAGCUAAAGGAGGAGGUGGUGUCGGCAUUGACCGUGGAGGAAACGGUGAGAAGAUUGAUGGUGUCGGAGGAUGGGGCAGAGAUAAGAAUGAAUGCAAUGAGGGUGGGGGAAGCUGUGCGACGGUCGAUAGAAGAUGGUGGAGAUUCUCGCAAAGAGUUGGAGGCUUUUGUUAAUCAUAUUACACGGUAGAUGAAAAAGUUUUUGUUUUCAUAUUAUUUGUUUAUGAUCGUUAUAAAAUAUAUCGUGUUAACUACUUAAUUCAACUAUCCUUCUCUCAUGAAGGAGUAUGCAAUUUUAAAAUUUUGAAGUACCCAUUUCACAAAUACUAAAUUCUAACAUCAAAGUUAACUACUUAAUUCAACUAUCCUUUUCCCAUCAAAGAUUUAGUUGAUAUUCUGACACAGGCAAAAGGGUAUUCAUUCUGUAUAAAUAAAUAGGUAAUAAAAUGUCACUUAUAUGAGAAUAUAACAUAAAUAAUAAAUAUUUUGACUUUGUUUAAAAAUGUUUGCUUAUUAUUUGAUCUCUCUUAGAAAACAUUCAUCAAUCAAAUACUUAUAUUUUCAUUCACAUUUCAAUAAAAUGAUUUCAAAAGUUUACUUGGUUCAAGCACCCAUUCAAACUAAUUUAACUACAUUGACAAUGAGUUUUUAAUUCCAUAUGUAUAUUAUUCCUUGCUGUCAUUUGCUUUCUUUUAAUAUCUAUCUCUUGUUACUUUUCUAGUACAAAGAAGAUGAGAAAUAUGAAACUCUUUGGUCGAUAAAUUGACGUGCAUGUGAAAGGAAGAUUAACUUUUCAAACUUCCAUUAUUUUUUCCUACGUAUUUAAAAUUUUCAUAAUGCUUUCUAUAUAUUUAGUUUCUAUACUUUUGAAAUAUUAAAUUAUUCCUUAAGAGAUUUAGGGAUCUUUUUAAAAAAUAUAAUAAAAAGACAAAAUAUUUACGAGAACAAAUUCGAAAGCAGAAAAAGCCAACAACCUCACAAUGGAAAAUACAAAAAAUGCCUCAUACAACCUCAUGGAAAAUACAAAAAAUGUCUCAUAAUUAAUUAUCAUUCCACACGUAAUAUAUUUGAAAAACGAUCGUUUAGAUUUGAUCGUUUAAAUUUAGGUAGCCAAAUCUAAACGAUUUUUUUUCCAUUUAUUUUUUUUGUAGAUUUGGUAUAUAAUAGUUUAUAUUUGAAACACGAUUGUUUAGAUUUGAUAAUUUAAAUUUGGCUGUUCAAAUCUAAACAAAUUUUUAAAGAUUAUUGGGUACACGAUAUUACUUAGAUUUAACUAUUUUUAGUACACAUCGUUUAGAUUUGGCAAUCCAAUAUUCCAAUGAUUUUUCUUUUCAGUAUCUUAAAUAAUCAAAUUGUUACACGAUCUUGUUUGUAAAAAAAUUGCAAAAAUGAAAAAGACAUUGCAAAAGAAAGAAGAUGGAAAGGAAGACAGACAAAAAUAUUUUUAAAAAAUUGUAGAAGAAGAGGAAGAAAGACCAUGAAAAUAAAUAAAAAAAUAUCGCAGAAGAAGAGGAAGAAAGACCAUGAAAAAAGGAUAAACAUGGAAUAUUUAAAAAAUGAUCAAUUGCAUGAGUUUUUUUUUUUCAUUUUAUUACACGAGUCAUAAAUAUUUUGUUAGUUGGUUGUAUUUAUGAAAAUUAACCAUAGAUUUAUUUAAAUAUUUUAGGAAGGUGCACAAUAUAUUGACAAAUGAAAUAAUAUAAUGGACAUUUUAAAAAAUAGUAAAAUAAAUUAAAAUAUUUACAAGUUAUAGCAAAAUUUUGGAUUUUAUCAAUGAUAGUCUUCUAUCACUAUAUAUCAAUGACUAUCAGUGAUAGAAUUUGCUAUAGGUUGUAAAUAUUUUGUAAAAUUUGCUAUAUUUGAAAAUUUCUCUAAUAUAAAGUUGACCUAAAUUGAAAAUGUAAUUUUUUUCUAUCAUGUUUUUUUUACUACUUUAAACAGCUGUAGGUUCUUUUCUUUAUGUACCAUUUUCUUCUUGUUGGAACCAAACCUUUCAAUUUUAAAAAAAAUAACAAAGAAAUUAAAGAAAACAAUAAAAGCUAAAAACACAAAAAUUUACUUGUAAAACUCCCAAUUUGGAAAAAAAACCACAUCAAGAAAAGAUAUCUACUAUGUGAAAAAUUGUUAUGACAAAGAAUAUAAUUUUCUCUCUUCCUGUCCUAAUUAGAUGAACGAUCUUGCAAAACGUUUAGCCACUCACACCCUUUACCCAUUCUUCUAGAAAACAAAAAGAAUUUAGUCAGAAUUAGCACACUAAAUAUUAAAAUGCUACUAAAUGGAACUUUUGUAAAAAAAAGAGGUGGACUCUUUUCAUAGACUUUGGAGUCACCCACCUUUCUACAAACUAACUGAUGUGAGACAACUACACUUUUAAUAUUGUGAUCCAUAAUUUCUUUCAUAAAAGUAUAGAGCACAGAAGCAUCUCAAGAUGUUUGAACAUAUUAAGAUGCUCAAGAGGGAAGCAUCGUAAGAGCUAAAAUUUUGGUGUCCUUUACAACCAAGUUUCCAAAUAUUCUCAUAUUGUGGGCAUCUUGCGUUUACCUUUAUGUUUUCCUUAUAUGAUGUAUAUGUAAGCGUGGAUAUGCCUACACUCAUACAAAUCAACCUUAUUUGUUUUUUUAGGUUACAGUUACCUAAAAUGACCAUGAACUUUGUAAUAAUUUACGUAAAAAAUGUCAAAAUUUCAUAAAGAGUUAAAAAGUACUCUACUAUUAGUUUUGGAUGGAAACUAUGAAAUUUUUCUUUAAAAAGUAUCCUUGAACUAUUAAAAAUUUCACAAAUACUCUGAGCUUAGAAAAAAGUUCAAAGGUACUCUCAUUUAUCCAAAAUUUACACCGUUUUCUAACCAAUUAAAAUUUUGAGUCAAAUCCACAACUUUAAACAUAUUUGACUAGUAACACAAAAUAAUAGAUCACAAUCACAACCAAUCUCAAUAGUUAUUGUUAAAAUUAACGAACAAUUAUUUGUCAAAUAAAAAAUUUGUUUGACUAUUAAUACAUAGUGAUAUUAUUAUAGAUCUAUCAGUGUGAGAUGUUUUUAUUUGACUAUUAUUGUUUUACUAUAUGUUUUGAGGAUAAUUUAUUUAUUUUGAAAUUUUAUCAUAUUUUGUGCAAUUUUAUGUUUUAACCAAGAUGCAUUAUGUGAAGCAUUGUGAAGCCUGUCAAUUCCAUGCAAAUUUUAUACAUAAACCAUCAAAGUCUCUUCAUCCAACAAUAGCUUCAUGGUCUUUUGAAGUCUAGUGACACGAUCUUGUUUGACCUAUCAUGCUUAAGUCAUUGGUUGGUCAUUUUUACAUCCUUACAGAGUGAUUAUUUUUCUAGAUGGGUUGAAGUUGUACCAUUAAGAGAAACAAAAAAUGAAAACAUCGUAGUAAAUUUUGUUCGAACAUACAUCAUUUAUCGAUAUGGUAUUUCUCAUCGCAUCGUGACUAGUAAUGGAAGAUAAUUUACUAACACUUUCAUGGACAAGUUGUGUGAGAAGUUUAACUUCAAAUAGUAUAAGUCUUCCAUGUGCAAUGUUGCAUCAAAUGGGUUGGUAGAGGCAUUCAACAAAACUCAGUGCAAUCUUCUAAAAACGGAGGUCUCGAAGACAAAAAGAUAUUUGUGAAAAAAAACUGGAGAAGAAUUGUGGGCCUAUUGAACUACCCAUCGUACUUCUACAAGUGUUACACCCUAUUCUUUGGUUUACGGAGUAGAAGCAGUUCUUCCACUAGAGAGAGAAAUUUCAUCCUUGAGAAUGGCAAUUCAAGAGGUGCUAACUACUGAGGACAAUGCUAAAUUACGCCUUUAAGAGUUAGAAGCACUUGAUGAAAAGAGAACAAGAAGCUCAACAUGCACUAAAAUGUUAUCAAGCAUGAAUGUCUAAGGCUUUUGACAAACAUGUAAAGCUUGGUUAUUUUAGGUUGAUGAUUUAGUGCUUGUAGUAAGAAAACCUAUCAUCAUGACAAGACAUGGAGAAUAAGUUCACACCUAAAUGGGACGGACCUAUAUCAUCAAAGAAGUUUUAAAAAAUGGGGCAUACAAAAUCAUUGAUCAAGAUGGAUUAAGAAUUGGUCAAAUUGUUUGUUGGACUGUGUUUCAACUACCUUGGAGUUAAUCGCUUGUGUAUAUUAGUGCCUGGACUUAAUAGUUUCUAUUUAUGUUUGAUAUAAUCGCAAUACGUCACCAAGUCAAGUCCUUGCGUGUAACACACUCAUUAUGACUCUUUGUACCACAUGUUUUAUUCUAAGUGAUGCUUCAUCGGUCAUGAGCAUAGUUAUGUGAAAGGCUCACAAUGUACCUCUUCACCAUGUAAUUCUUAAGUUCUCGUUGAGCACAACUUUUUCUACUACUUGUCCAAGUGUAAGCGAAACAAUAGGUUUAACUAGGUGAUCUAUGGUAUUAUUAUUAUUAUUAUUAUUAUUAUUAUUAUUAUUAUUAUUGUUAUUAUUACAUAAAUUAAUACAUCAAAUGGAUAUUAAAAUACUUUUAUUUUAAAUUGAUUUUCUUUUUUUCUAAAAUGAUUUUAGUAAGUUAAAAUUAAUAUUAGAAGAUUUUAUUUAAAACAAAUUCAUUUAUUUUUUCCUAAAAUAGUACAAAUAAGAUAAAUGUGAUAUUAAAUAUUUUAUUUAAAAUAAAUUGAUUUAUUUUUAUUUCUUAAAAUAAUAAAAAUGAGAUAUUAUAAGAUAUUAUGUUAUUACUAAUUUCUUUUUACCUUUUCUUUAAAAAUAAAUAAAUAAAAGUUUAGUCAUUAUUACUAAUAUUAAUUUUAAAGAAAAAUAUUGGUAGGAUAAAAAUAGAUGGCUACAAUGUUGAUGUUAUCAAUGGAAAUUAUGCUUAUGGUGUUUGGUCAUGGAGUAUUUCAUGUGUUUGGAUUUCAAUUAAAAACGAGUACUUGUAAAAUUUAUGAAAAUCUAAUUAAUUUAAAAAUUGUUAUAAAGAAAUUACCUAUUUUAUAGCCAUGAGCAAACGUUAUAGGAACUUUUGUAAAAAAAAAAAAAAAAACUAUCAAAAGGUUAAUACAAUAAUAAUAAUAGGGAUUAUAAUGGAUUAAAUAUCAUUGUUAUAACAUAUAAUUAUAGCUAGAAAUAAUAUAUUAUAACCUUAAAAAAAUGUCAUUAUAUGUCAAAGAUAACAUUUGAUUUUAGAUACGUAAAUAUAUUAUAGCUUUACUAUAAAAACUAUCAAAUGGGUUUAUAGCAUCAUAUUUAAGCUAUAUAUGUAUACUCUAUUAUAGCGUCCAUCAUAGCUGUACGAGAAGGCUAUAAAAAGUUUCAGACAUUUAAUAACAUGAACUGUCAGGACUUUCGAAAAAGGCUAUGAAAGAUCUUAUAUAAUAUUUUUCGUUAACUAUUGUAAGUAUUAUUUCGUGUAGUGAUUAAAACUAAAGGUUAGAAAAAUUUAUAUUUGAAUAUGAUUCAAAUUUGAAUUAAAUUAAAUAUAAGAUAUUUAGUUUAGUAAUUAAUUAAUAAUAUAGUUUUAUUUAAUUAAAUUAAAACUAUAAGAUAUGAGAUCGAUAUUCAUUAAAAAUGAUUUGAAUGGUAUAUUAAUUAAAUAUGAUUUAAUUAAUUAAUUAAUUAAAUAUUUUUUAAAUUAAUAAAAUCACAUCAAUCAUUCUCUCCCACUUCUUCAAGAAGAGGGAGUUAUAAAUACACGGAACAAAACAAGUUUUUCAACCUCAGCUAUUUUGCCUCUUUGCAAAUUCUCUUAAGAUUCUCUCAAAAGAUUUUCUUCCAAUUGGAUCUUACAAAUAAUCAAUCUCAUCCUAGAGGAUAGGAAGAUCUUUGAUCGGUGGUAUCACAAAUUUAUAGUUUUAGUAGAUUAAGAGGCGUAAAACUAUGUGAGUUUUUCUUUCUCUAAUUUAUAAUUUUAAAGCAUGUUUAGCCUCCUUUAGAAAAUUGUUUUUGUAGCUAUUGUCAAUGUACGAUAUUUUUAAGUUUCCAAUUAAAUUGAUCUAAGGUCUCUAUAAAAUCUAUAAAAUCUUCCACUAAAUCUUCCACUGCCAAACGCUUUAACUCAUUCGACAACCCUACUAACUCCCAACCCUAGAAUUCAGUCGUCCGAAGAACCCUGCUGAUUUUUUUGAAUGCUUUGAAAUCUACCGACGCAUGACUUGAAGCGUCGGGAGUGCGACCACAUCUCCUGAAGUGGGCAACAAAACAUUGGGUGUGCUCCAAUAUUUUCUUACGUUUUCUUCGUUGCAUCAGGAAUGCCGGUAUAUCUUUUGACACAUGAAGUUAUACAUCGGGAGUUGGUGGGUACCCCAAUGCUCCGUGUAUGGCGUCGGGAUAUACUAUAUCUUCCGACAAUCUAAUCCGAAGUCGGAAGAGCCAAAAUUUCUUGUAGUGUGAGUAGGAUACUGCUCAGCCUCACGAAUAUUGUACUGAAUGUGAGCCAUGUUCUACAAAUAAUACACAGAUUACAAGUCAGUUCCUUGUUGACCCAUCUCGUUACCGAUUGUUAACGUUGCACUACCCAUGGAACCAUUGCAAAUAACACACAGAUUAUAAUCAUGUAUGCAAACGAAAAGCAACCCUAGCGGAGAAGUUUCAUAUAAAAAUCAGACGUCUUCAUGGUGAAACAAAAGAAAGGAACAUAUUAACCAAAAACGGUGUACUACUGAUGGUCAAACGACCAGUUGGUAAACCCUACAGACGUGGCCGAAUGAUCCAGCACGAAGAAGGAGAAGAAACGAUGAGAUUCAAUUGUGUUUCUUAAAAAAUAAUUAAUGCGAAGAUGGGAGAACCUCCCACUUCAGCAAAAAUUUGAACUAUAAUGGAGGUAUUCCGUAAUAUUGCUUUCUUAUUUCAACUACAAAUCAUGUGUGAAAACCGUGAAUUAGUAUUAAAUUAACCUUGUAAACUAUGUAGGUAAACUUAAUCAAUUAUGAUAACAUAAAAAAUUGUCAAGUUCAUUUUCAUUAUCCAUCAAUUAAAACUUUCAUUAUCGUUCUAUAAACAUGAUUCUAAAUUCCUAAAACUAUCUCUCAUUCAAUCUUUCAUUCAACUUACAAAUAUGUUUACAAGGUAUACGCAACCUGUUUACAUUCUCAUGUCUAAGAUGAAUUUUUUAAUCAUACACACACCCCUAUCUUCAGAUGGAGCUUUAGUGAUUGUUGUCAAUUUCAGUUUAUAACCUAGUCAAUUUUGUUACCUUAUUUAUUAGUUACAAAUCUAGAUAUAAUUAGUUAGUCUAUUCCCUUUUAUGUUCUCCUGAUAAACAAAAGACUUCAAUUCAAUCUCUUAUUCUCUAAAAGCAUAUUGAAAGCUCAUUUGGAUAACUAUUUCAUUUUUCUAGGAAAAUUAAACCUUUUUUUGUAUGCUUACGAUUGUAUCCACCCAACCAAAUUCCAAAAACAAAAAUAAGUUUUUUAUUAAAAAGUUAUUUUUUUCAAAAUUUGACUUAACUAUUCUAAAACACAAGUUAGAAGUAAUAUUAUUAAAAAAAUCAUAAUAUUUAUAAGCUUAAAUUUCCUAAACUGUCUAAGAACAACAAAAAAAAGAAGACUUAAAAUAGGAACAAUUUCUUAAAAUGGAUUAUGAAUAAGAAGAGGACAAGAAAAUGAAGUCCUGUGUUUUGGGAAGCAUAGUAGUAGCGCUGCCGACUUAUAAUUAUGAAAUAGAGAACAAUGUAGAGCCGAAAUUAAUAAAAUCAAUCACAUCACUUUCCUCAAACUAUUCUUGUGAUGUGUUGUGUUUUGUGAACUCUUGAGAUUUUUGUUUAUAGUUAAAACUUCCUUCCACAAAAGAGAAAAAAAAAAGUCGGCUUCGUCGCUUUUCUUCGUUUUUUUCUCUAUUCCUUUUGAUUCGAAAAAGAAAAUAACAUUUCUUUAGAUUUUGAUAUUCUUCAUUUAUUUGUAACUUGUUAUGUGUUUGUACUUUGUUUUCUUUAGAUUUCAUUUUUCUUUCUUUAUCGUCUAGUAUUUUAAAAGAAUCAAUAUCAUUUUGCAAGUAUUCAUUGGUGUCGGCCUAUUUUAUACAUAUAUAAAAAAAAAAUUGAACAAAAACGUUUUGUUCCUUCAUUUGAAGUAUUUCAUUCCAAUUUUGACGAGUUCAAUCUCACCUCUUCUUUUUCGGAGUUUAGUGCAAAAUAUCGAAGUAUUUUAUCAAAUUCAAGUAGGUUAAAAUUGUUGUUCUACUAACAUGAGAUGUUUUAUCUUGUUAAGUCUGUGGAUUAUUGUACUUUGCUUGUAAUAUGUGUUGGUGAAUUAUUGUGUAUUGGGUGAAUUAUUGUGAUUUGGACAACACUUAUUAAUUAAAGCAUAUCUCAAUAACCUAUUGGCUUUUUUUUAGAAAGAUCUUAUUUUUGUCGUUAUUUUCUAAAACCCUUAGUAUUGGUGUCGUUGAGCCAAAAUAAAAUUUAAUUGAAUCUCACUCAUUAAUAUUGGUUUUAUUUAUGGGAGAAAACUUCAAAUUUGAUUUGUGAAGCUAACAUAAUAUCCAAAUAACGCAGAGUAUAUCUUAACUGUAUAUCAAAAUAAUUGUGAGUUGAACUUUUUGCCGUUUAUACAAUAUUAAAAGAAAAGAAAACUUUCAUUUCAACUUGAGAGUAAAUAGAGUUGUGGAUUAAUCCAAUUUAGGGAGAUAAGAAUAAAGAUUGAGGAUAAUAAAUGUAUGAUUUGUAGAACAAACCGAAGUUUUGUGGUGGGGAGAUCCAUUGUAAGAAAAAGAUUUGGAUAAGUAUCCUUAAUAGGAAGAAAUAAUUUCUUUCUUUCUUCUUCUUCUUCUUUUUUUUCUUUGUUUUGGAACGCUUAGGAGAUCUCUACAAUUUAAUUUAGUUUUCUUUAGUUUUGUUUGUUGUAGAAAACUGCUCUAGUGUGGGUCCCAUUUAAAGUUUAAUAUUUAUUUGUCUUCUUUUUGCUACUAAUAAUGAAUUAUUCAUUCGGGAUCUAAUAGUCUAUUUUGUGAAAUUAACAUAUGAAUAGAUCGCAAAUAAUGAAUUGAAAUUGAUUCAAAUAAUUAUAUGAGAAAAAUAAGAAUUUAACCAAUGCAAAAAUGAUAAGUUUCACACAAUAUUUGUUGUAGAAUAAACCCCAGUAAAAGAAGUUAUGUAAAGUAGAGUGUGUAAGUGGAUACACUUACGAAAGCUGGUGCAAUAAACAAACAACUUUGAUAUCCUCACAUAUAAUUUUGAACUAAAAUCUAUCUAGUAAUAUGAGCUAUAAAAGCCUCAAAUUCCUGACGAGACUCACCGCCUUCUUCCAGCGAUUGUCGCACAACAUUCCCUAAUCUCUCUGCAUUCCUCCUCACCUCCGCCCCUUCCUCCGACGCCAUCAACUUCCUAACCACCUCCUCUACAGCAUCUGCUAUCACCAGUUCUUGUUGCCACUCUUUGAGUGCCACCCCGACACACAAGACCAUAGUCAUAAGCACUGUGUUCCUCGGCUGAUCAGAGUGCAUUGGCCAAGCAAUUACUGGGACCCCCGUCGUUAUGCUCUCCAUGCAUGAGUUCCAACCGCAAUGCGUCAUGAACCCUCCUGUCGCCCAAUGACUCAGAAUCUCUAAUUGGGGUGCCCAAUCUCUUAUUACCAACCCUUGAUUGCCAAUUAAGUUGCUAUAACCCUCUGGCAGAUUUGAUUUUCGAAUCUCAUUGACAUCGAACACGUCGCCCUUGUCCGCAUCUCGAAGGACCCAAAUGAAUUUUUGAUCACUUCUUGCUAACCCAAUUGCUAUUUCUUUUAUUUGUUCGUCUGUCAUUGCUGUAGUUGUCCCAAAUGAGAUGUAGAUCACUGAUCUUGGCUCUUGUUGGUCCAGCCAUGCCAUGCAGCUAUGGCUACAAGAUGACUGUUUGUUGUUGCCCCCAUUCUUGGAAUAAAGGAAAAAUUAAAUCAAUUAACAAACAAACCAUCUAACAAAAAAAAAAAAAAAAACUAAAUUAAAUUAUUCCAUGUAUAUUUAUCCUUGUCUCAUUGAUAAUCUUUUAUUAAAAUGAUAUUUUCACAAAAUCAAAUUUUAAUUGAGAUAACCUGCUUAAGCUUUGUUCACAUUUAGAUUGUGUUUAAUAAACAUUUCAUUAUUUGUAUUUUGUUUUUUAAAGUUAAAUCUGAUUUCUUAUCCUGAUUUGAAGAUUAUUAAGUACAAUAAUUAAAAUUUUAAAUAUAUUUAAAAGGAACAAAAAUAAAUAAAAACAUUUUUAGUUGAAAGUUUAAGUUGAGAUUAGUAAAGGAUAAAAGAUAAAUAAGAAAAUAAGAAAUUGAGAGUUAGAAUAAAUACGUAAAGGUUUAAUUUUUAAAAUAAUAAAAUUAUUUAUUUUAAGUUGGGUUCAGCUAUUUUUGCAAUUCGAGCCAGGCACACACCCAAAAAGGCCAAAAUGUGAAAUAUAUAAAAUUUUCAUGGGAAACUUCGGUUGGGCCACCUAGUUUGACGGGAAAAUAUGGAUAUACACGAGGAGGAAAAAAACACUUAUUUAUUCACAUACUCAAUAUUUGGAUCCACCGAAUAUAUGAUUUGUAUACACACACUCCCGCAUUUGAUCUCAAAAUUAAUAAGGAAAAUGAGUUAUUUUGAAUUAGGUGUUGAAAAACCAAAACAAAACGAACCUUGGAGAUUUUGAGAGGGUUGAAAGGACCCAAAGCCCAAUGACGAAACUCAGGUUCAAUCCUUUGAAUCACCUCUAAAAACUCUCCUUCAAUAACUCUACAAGUGUUAUAAAUUUUUCCAGCUCCCAUUUUUGGGAGAUGACGAAACUGAGAUCCAAUGAACUCCAAAAAUUCUGGUGGAAAACAUUGUUCCAUCGAUACUACAUUCAGUUCUUUAGGAAAAUAUUGUUGGUAAGUGGGUGUUGUUAUUUCACCAUCUUUGUAUCCGUCGUUUACAAACAGCUCUUUACGCUCCAAGCUAUGAGCAACGGUGAAGGCGGAUACAGAGUGAAAGCAAUAGGAUUCAGUGUUGGGAAUGGCGUUGACAUCUUGUAGGGCAGACGACAUUAGUGAGUCGUGGAUGACGACAAGUCGUCUCACUUUAGAUGAGAGAGUGCGUAGGAAGGCAGCGAGGGGGCGUUGGAGAUGGAGAGCAGCAGCAAUGAAUGAGGGGAUGAGAUGGGAAGGAAAUCUAUGUGAUGCAGUAGGAUUGGGAGGAGGAGAGGGAAAUGGAGGGAUAUCAAAGUCGUGGAAUUGAAUUAAUGGGUGGCUAUUGUUGUCAUGAACACGACGAAGUUGGACUUGGCGAUUGUGGGUGGGAGUGCCAAGGAAGUGGACUGGGAUGUGGAAGGUGGAGAUGAGGUGGGAGAGGUGGAGUAGUUGGUUCAAGUGACCUUGUGCAGGUAAAGGAACCAUAACAACCACUAUAGGAAGGUCGUUUGAAUUUUUAACCACUUUGUUGGACAGCAUGACAUGGUUUUCACUAUUCAUUGUAUAACAAAAAGAUGAGAGAUAGGCUUCGCGUUUUACUCUUUUCUAAGUGUUUCAGUGUGAUGAUAGCAAGGAAUCCAAGAACAAGUUUGUAUAUUUAUAUAUAUUUGCCCCCACAUCAAAAUUUCAUUGUGUUUUCUUAUGGUCCACCAUGUAUAUUUAAAUAUUGAAUAACUAAAAUUGGCCGCGCUUCUUUUUUUUUUUUUUACUUAUUAUUAUUAUUAUUUAAAUUAUCAAUAAUUCCUCGGGUAGUAUCUGUUAAGAAUUUUGUACAAAUUUCAAUUUGGGAGUCUUCUAACUCUAUCAAUUUAUGCUCUUCAUGAUAUUAUAUUUCAUAUUUCGUCAAACAAAAAUUGUAUGACACAUAUAAUUUUAUAUAUUAGACUAUAGGGAACAAUUUGGACUCUUAGAUAUAAUUUUAUUUUUAAAAUCAUUCUAGUAAUAGUUUAUUUCCUUAAUUUAACAGCUGAAGAGACGUACACGUUAGAAUUGAAGCAUUAAUGGGUUUUAAUUAAGAUCAUCUAAUUUAAACUAUAUAAAAGGAGCUAAGGCAAAAAACAUAUUCAUUUCUCUUUUGCUCCUAUUACUAUUUUGUUAUAAGGUUGUUUGAUGUAAUUUUAUAUCUAAAUUAUUAAAUAAAAUUAAACAAAAAAAAGUUACCAAACUUGUUAAUUUUUUUAAAAUAUUUUAAAUUUGUCAUUUAUUUUCAUCAUCUUUUUUCUACUUCUUUUGUAAAUUUUUUUUCAUCAUUUGUUUCUCCUCCAUUUUUUUUUAAAAAUAUUUUGGUUUGCCUUACUUUUUAUAUUCUUUCUUAUAUAGUUUUUCUUUUACUUUUCAUUUUUAAGAUAGUUUGUUUGGUGAAAAAAUAGGUGAAAUAUUAAAUAGUUAAAUCUAAACGAUCAAAUCUACUAAAUAUAAACUAUUCUUAUCAAAAAAAAUUGAAAAAAUAUAUGUAAUUUCUUUUUAAAAAAUAGCAAUAUAUUUACUCUUUUUUCUUCUUUAUGUAUUCACUUGAAUUUUUUUUAAAGAUGUGAAACUAUAUCUAUUAGUAUAUAUAUAUCUAAUCUAAACUAAACUAUAUAAAAGAGUGUUAAGUGAAAAACACAUCCGGGUGAAAUAUUCGUUAUAAGACUAUUUGGAGUAAUUUUAUAUUUUAAUUAUUAAAUUAAUUUUUUUUAAAAAAACAUCACGUAAAAGAAUAAAAAAAUCUUCACGAAAGAAACAAAAAAAAAAAUAUAUAUAUAUAUAUACUAUUUAUAUCUACAAAAAAUUAUCUUAAAAAAUCACAUAGUAUCCUAUAAUUCUACCAUUAUAUAAAUUGAAGGGGUACGAAAACAAAAAGAUUCUUGAUGUAAAAGUAAAAGAAAAAACUAUUUUCUAAAAAAAGAACUGUACCAUUGAAAAUCAAACAGAGUUUUGAAAAAAAAAUGACUUACUAUAUAUCUAAAUCUAAAAUAGUUUAUAAUUGUUUCUAUAUUUUAGUUAUCAUAUAACACCUACAAAUUAAGUAAUUUAAAAAUUAAACAUAUGGAGGUUAUAAUUUGCAUACAUAUAUCUCAUUAGAAAAAUCUUCUCUAUCAUAACCAAUACAAAAAAGUUAGCAUUUAAUUAUUAACUAAUUAAUAUAAAAUAGCCUAAUUUUUCAAAAAUAUAACCGAACACCAAAAUAUUUAUGACAUCUGUAACAAAAUAAAAAAGUUCGUGGUGUUUUCAUCAAUUUCAGGCUCUCAAAUAUUGCAAGACGAUUUUUUAUUCUUUUUUCUUUUCUUUGUAAUUUAUUCAUAUCAUCUUCAUAUUAUACUACUUCUUCUUCCUUUUUUAUUUGUUAUUGUUCGUGAUUUCUUCAUUUUCUCUUCUAAAAUUUAUUCCUUAUUUGAUUUUUCACUUAUUCAAAUUUCCACUUAGUAAAAGAUCUUCAUCAUCUCUCAUAUAUUUUCUCUUCCAGACCUAAACGAUCAUCUAUCAAGAUCUAAAUGAUAUUAGUAUAAGAUCUUGUACCAAAUAUAAAAUAUCAUGGUACAUGAUCGUGAACCAAAAUCGUUUAGAUUUUGUCCACGAUAUCAUUUAUCUCUUGGUACACGAUUGUGUACAAAUUCUAAAUGAUAUUGGUACAAGAUCUUGUACGAAACAUAAAAGAUUUUUGGUACACCAAUUGUGAACCAAGAUUGUUUAGAUUUUAUACAUGAUCGUGUACCAAUAGUUAAACAAUCUUAGUUCACAAUCGUUUAGAAGAAGAAUGACGCGCCUAUGGUCGGUGUGUUGGUACUACUUCCACGAUCAUAUAUCAUUUUCUAUACGAUCGUGUGUUAUUUCCUAUACAAUUGUGUAUCAUGAUCAUUUAGAAGAAGAAUUACACACAUGUGUGUGGUCGAUUAAUCGCUUGUUGACUAUGACAUUUUUUUGUAUUUCACAUCGUAGGUAUGAAAACUUAUUUCGUUUUCGAAAUUAUUUUUAAAUAUUUUGCCAAUUUAUUAUAUUUUUUUUUAAAAAUUCCUAGAAACUAUAUUAGUACACAAUAAUAUUUGAAAUUAAUUAGGUAAAUAAAAACCAAUAUUAUUUUAGCCAUUACACCAUUAUUAAAAUUUUAUUUUGGAGACAAAUAUUUUGAAUUAAAGAUUAUUAGUUUUCUCAGGACAAUUAAGUUAUUAGUUAUAUAACUAUAUUCACAAAUUUAAAUAAAAAAAUUAAAUAAUUAUACAUUUUUUCAAUCUAUAAUACCAUACUUAACUUAUACACAUAUUUUUAAAAAAUUUGUUAUGGUUUUAUGGAUAUCCACGCUAACUUUAUUAUCAUUGGAAAGAUUAAAUUUAUUUUUCUUUCGAAAAUAUUGAUUAUUAUUUUAUUCUUUAAUUUUUAAGAUAUUGGUUUUUAUGGUUUUUUAAUUAUUUUUAAAUUUUCACUUUAUAUUAGAGGUGUAUUAUUAAAAUUUUAUAUUUAAUUAUUUUUUAAAACUUUACCAAACAGGUUCAACGCAUUAUAUUAAUCCAUUUAUGACUUGGUUUGGAACAAUUACCAGGCUUGGAAUUUAGAGAAGGGCGUAAUUGAUAAUGUUACAAUUAAGAUUUAAAUUGAUAUUAGUUUAAGGUUAAUUUUAAUUAACGUCCAACUCAGUAACAUAACCUUCCGAUUUCUGACUUUCAUCUUAGAGUGAAAGGUUUGAUCCUCAUCUUCACAAUCUUUGUACUAUUUUAAAUACACUUCGUAAAUAUUUUAGAAACUAUAACACUUCAAUCUCUUUUUAAAUAUGCCAUAGUUUGAAAAUUAACAUUUAAAAAUUUAAACCAAACCUACUAUAUUUAAUAAAUAUUUUAUUUUAUUGUAAUAUAUAUAGUUCUUGGUAUGAAUUGAAUUUACUUUUUAAUAGACAAACAUAAAGUUUAAAAAGUUGUUUUUAAAUGGUAAAACUAUGUAAAAUAUUUAUAAAUAUAACAAAUUUUAUAGUUUAUUAUAUUUAUAAAUAUUUUAAUUUAUUUUACUAUAUUUAAAAAAUCUCUAAAAUUUUUCAAAUAGGCCAAUUUAAAAAUAUAAGUAUUAAAAGUGAGAUGAUAUUUAAAAUUUUGAGGUUUAAAAAAACAAGAUGAAAUCAAUUUGAAACUUUAUGGGAGAAAGUGUGACAUUUAAAAAGUCUAUGGAUUAAAAUAUUAUUGUUAGUUUAAAAAUAGGUUGGUUUAUUGAAUCUAUGAUUCUUAGAUAUAUUAUUACAAAAUGAGACACCUCUUAGAUGGUGGAUGGAAUGUUUAAUCUUUUUCUUUUUUUUUUAGUUUAAGAUUUACCUACUUCUACUAAUGCAAAUAAAACGGAUUAUUAUUUUGUAAAAUAUUUAAUUAAUUCAGCCAGAAUUUACUUCAACAAUUUGAUGGGUUUGAUGUAGACUUCAUAAUAUCGUCCCUGAAAUAAAUAUUAGGUUAAAAUAUUUUUAAUUACUUAAUUUAGUCUUGAUAAUACUUUCAAUAAAUGAAAAUUAUUAUAAACGAAAAUGAAGGAAAAAUAUCAAACUUUAAUUUUUUUAUAUAUUUUAUAAAUAGUUUCAAUAUUUUACUAUUCCAUAAAUCUUAAAUUUAGUUGGAUAAUGUUUGGAAUGAUAUGGAAAAAUAUAGAGAUUGAAAAAUGAGGAAAUUGCUUAUUUAAAAAUGUGGUAAAAUAAAUAUUAUAUAUGAAUGAUUAACAAUUACCACACGGAACAUCCGUAAAAAUGAUUAAUAAUGUUGAAGAAGAAUAAAUGUUAGAUAAAUUAAUAAAUAUUUAAAUUUAGCCAACACAGUCCAAAUCAAUGUGGCAUUAGUAUGUUAAACAAUUUUUGAUAUUGAAAAGAUUAAACAAAAUUUUAAAAUUGACUAUGAUUAUUAAAUGAAUGAAUUUAUUUAUGGUUCACCAUUUUUAGAGUUACAUUUGCAUACGAUUGUAAGAUGGAGGAUAUGGCAAUUACAUAUGAAUUAUUUACAUUUUCUUUCUCAUCUUAUGAAGGUCACCUUGUUAAUUAUCAUUUUUGUUUUUCUUUCAAAUCUUAUCCAUUGGCAACGUCAUUUCUAACAAUAUAUAACACUCAAUCAAGAUGAACAAAACUAUAAUAUUUUGAAUAGUAAGUUCUAAAAGAAUGGUAUAUUUUUUUGUAAUAAUUAUUAUAGAAACCAAAAUAAUUGAUUUAUUUUUUUGGGGGUGCAAGAUAAAUGGAAACCCAUAUUGGUUGGAUGGAAAGGGUAAAUUUGAAGGUUGUGCUUUGAAAAAAGCAACAUGUUAUCCAGCCGUAAUAUUUGGGGAAUAACGAAAGCUCUCUUGUGGAAUACGCCGACCCUCACCUUUUCACUUCUAUGAUGUCACCCAUAUCAAUCUUUUAUACAUGUAUACAAAACAUUUUUUUUUCAAAUACUAAAAUAAAUUAAAUUAUUUAGAGGGCGUUUGGAUUGAUUUUGAAAAAUAAAAGUUUGUUUAAUAAUACAUUUUUUAAAAAUACUUUUCACUAAAAUGAGUUUAAAAUCUAAACACAUACAUAUUUGAUUAAAUGUGUUUAGUUUGUUAUAUACUAAUAAUGUUUUAUUUGUACAUUAAAUUACCAUAAAAUGCUAUUAACCAUUAUUAAUUAAUUUCAUAACAAAAUACACACAUUUCAAAAAUACUUUUUAAAAUUAAUUGCACGUUAUUUUGAAUUGUUAAUUUUUUAAAUACUUGAAACUAAAUAUUAAUUUCAUUAUUAUUAUUAUUUUAGACAAUUCAAUUUUAAAAGCACAAAUAUUUUGAAAUGUAAAUACAUACCUACAUAAAAAAUUAAUUGAUUUCCAACAACAAAAUAUAAAUAAGAUAAGUAAUGUUCUUAAUUCAUUUUAAUUUCAUGAACCGAACCAUCAUGUUCUUCAUUGACGUUCUCAUGAUUUCUUUCACAGAUGUUAAGGCGAAGUAGAUUUGGUUGAAAGAGAAACAUUUGGAAAUUAAAUCUCUAUAUUUAAAUGUAUAUAAACACAAAUUGAAUAAAUAUUCAAAGUAUUUAAAGAAAAAAGCGACCAAGUGAAAAAUAGAUAGUAAAAAAGAAUAAAAAAAUAGGGAGAAAAAAUACAUAUUUGGAAGAAAUUUCUCAUUAAACACCACAUAAACAUUUAUUCUAAAAUCUAGAUGAUUGUAUUUUUUCUAAAAUGAUUUAUUUCAUCAUUUGUAUUUUGGAUAAAGAAUACCUUAAAUUUUCAAAAGUUUAAAAAUUAUUUUUAAUUUUUUUUUAAAGUUUUAAAAAAUAUCUUAUCUUUAGUUUUUUAUGGAAAUUUUUGUUUCAAAAAUGUCCUUAAACUAUUGAAAAGUUUCAUAAAUACAUUGAGCUUAGAAAAAGUUAAAAAACACUCUAUCCAAAUUUUACACUAAUUUUCUCACCAACAAAAAUUUUAAGUUAAAACCAUAGUUUUAAAUUUAUUUGACUAUCAACACUUAUGAUAGGUCACGAACACAACCAAUCUCAAUAGUUAUUGUUGUAAUUAACGCGCAGUUAAUUAUCAAACAAAAAAUGUAUUUGAUUAUUACACAAAGUGGUAGUCUGAUAGAUCUAACAAUGUUAGCACCAACAGAUUUAGCAUAGAUCCAACUCCUCGACUCUUUGCUCCUUUUAUUACAAAUAUAAAAAAAACAAAAAUAGUACUAAUUUCAAAAGUUAGUCUAAUCGUAAAACUAUCUUUCCGUCCAUUUGGUCCAAUUCAAACCCUAAUUUUAAUUAUAAUGGAUAUUUCUUGAAAAAUUAUAAGAACGGAAAAUUAUAAAAAUAAAUUUGCAAUAGUAAAUGAAUAUUUUAUUGUUUUUAAAUAAUUAAACAUGUGUAUUAUUUAUAUUAUAUUUAUAUUAAUGUUAUUUUGAAGUUUAUUUUUUAUUAAUAAAUUUUGGGUAAUUACAACAAGUAGCAAUUGUUAGAUUAAUUAUUAAAUAUGUAGCAAUAUUUUAAAAAAGUUAUAACUAUAGCAAAGUUUAUUGGUGAUAAACUUCUAUUGUUGAUAAAAACUUAUGAUUUAUGAGUGAUAGACCAAUAUUUGCUAAUGGUCUAUCAGUGAUAGAUUCUUAUCAUGGAUAUAUUUUAACAAAUCUUGCUAUAUUUACAACUUUUUAAAAAUGAUGCUAUAUAAUUAAUUAUUUUGAAUUUAAUUACUAUAUUUACAACUAUCCUGUGUUUUUCUACGAUGUAAUGAAAUUAUCAAUUCACCUCUUUUAUCGAUAUCUAACCCGUGAAAAUGUGAAAAUAUUAAUAGAUAUAUUGACAUAUCGAUGUAAAUUUAAACUAUAGUUUUAAUUUAAAAUUUUGGUUUUUAUUUUCGAUCUUAAUAAAUUUGGUGUAAAAAUUGAAUUAAUGAGACUAAUUUUUAAUUAAUUUUUUUUAGUUUAAAGGUAUUUAUAGAAUUUUUCGAUACUUAGGCGUAUUUUUUAAAUGAAACAUUAGCAGUUUCUAUUCAAAACUAACUGUAAAGAUGUUUUUGAACCAUUUUCGAAAGUUUAAAGAUAUUUUCGAAACUUUUGAAAGUUUAAAGAUACUUUGAUACAAACCAUAAAGUUAAAGAAGCGUUUUUGUAUGUGUGUAAUUUAGCCAUUUUGUUAUUUUGCACAUGAAAACUAUUGUCUUAAAAUUACGUCGGUUGCAGUUAACUCAACAUUCAUCUUGUUAAAAGUGGGUGUGGAAUGGAAUGAAUAGAGAAGCAAACUCACAAUCAAAACGAAACCACGUGAACCAGCGGAGGUUACUCUUUUAUGAAAAGAGGAAGAUGAAAAAUGUCUAGAUAUGAUAAAUUCAAUGCAAUUACUUUUCACAUCUCCAGGAACAAUGACAUAUGCUUUUAAAUUAAGUUAGCAACAUUGAAAUAAAAAGUAGAAAAAAGAGAUGGAAGAACUAUUUCUUUUCUUCAUGUGAGCACAGUUAUUUGAAGUUGUGUCUAGUUAGAUGUGCAACAUCAUGUUUGCAACGAGAGACAUGGUUACCACUCGAUAUACUAAUGAUGUAUUUAGAUUUUGUUUAAUUUUUUAAAAAAAACUAAAUUGUUUAGAAGUCACUUAAAAUAUAUUUUUAAUUUUAUUUUAAACAAUUUUUAUAAUUUAAACAAAAAUAAAUUUCUUAGAAAACAUUUUUUUUUAAAAAACUCAAUCGAGGACCCUUUUGAAGUCGACCCACCUCCUAACUAUUGUUCUUCUAAUUUUAGAACAAAAGGAAUCCUAUCCCAUGUGAAAGACUUACUAUGAGCAAUGAGUUGAAGUUGUUGUGAGGACUUGCUAUGGGCAAUAAGCCAAAGUAGUUGUGAGUCAUUCUUUAGCAUGUGCAUUGCACCUGAAAAUGUCGAAAUCUUAAUUUAAAAUUUUAAUAUAAUAUUUAACUGUCUUGAAAUACUCAAAUACAAAUAUAUGAAAAAAAAAUAUAAUGAAUAAAUAAUAUCAAUGACUCAUCUUGAAAAAUGGUAUCAUAUUGAUAUCAGUAGUACCUAUUAGACUCGAGAAACACUUAUACAUGAAGAGUUGUGACCUUGUCUAUUAAUAAUAAAUUAAGAAUUUAUAAAUAAGACAGAGACAAAAGAUGACAAAAGAUUAUCUUACUCUAUACACACACAUACCAGUAAACACACAUUUGUGUUGCCAAUGAUUUAAAACUAUAAAGUUUGAAGGUGUGCAACUUUUAUAGGGAAUGAAAUGCUCUUGUUAUUAGCUUAAAAUAACAAUAUUUAUUAUAAAUAAGUAAUAUGGUAUAGAUGUCCAUGUGACAUGUGUCUUAUUAUAAUUGUAGACACUCUUAGUGUCUAACAAGGUGACCUCCUUUAUGCAUGUGUCAAGUAACCAUGCACCGUUGGUGGUCAAGUGAUGUCACAUACUACUUGUCAAAUUGCCUAUAAAUAGUGACAUUUGGUGGAUUGGUAAGAUAUACAUAUAUUGGAGGAUUUUCCAAAGAAUUUGGAGGAAGUGGUAGAAAGUGAAAAAUAAUGAGAUUUCUUUUGAAUUAUCAUAAAUAGCAAAUUUGACAAAAUAUUUACAGCAUAUAGCAAAAUUUUAAGAUUUUAUCAACAAUAGACAUUGAUAGACACUAGUUUUCUUCUAUUAGUGACAUUGAUAGACAAUGAUAAAAGUCUAUUAGUUUAUGUCAUUAAUAGAAAAUUAAAUUUUGCUAUAACUUUAAAUAUUUUGAUUAUUUUGCUAUUUCUAAAGAUACCCCUUGCGUUUUCUUAAUUUUCAGAUUAUUUUCUUAUUUAUUUAUUUAUUUUAUUUAUAUAUUUUAUUUUAUUAUUUUAAUAUCAUAUUUUUUUUAUUUCCAUAUUUAGCUUGUUUCUUGAUUUUACAACAAUAAUCAUUAUUAUUUUUAAAAGUAAAAAAUAAAAAAAUGGAUAUAAUUAUUAAAAGGUUAAUUUAUAUAUAAAACACAAAACUAGCAAGUUAUAUUACGUCAAGACUAUUUUUCUACUUAUUCAAAUGAUACCAAGUGGACAUUCCUGCCUUCGUUUUCUUAAUACGAGUUAGAUACACUAUUUUAUCUUUCUCUUCACAUCGCCUUACAGAAUUUCUUUGUGUAAUUAGCCAAUUCUUACAUUUGUUAUUUUUUAAUUUUUCCAACUUGCCUAAAUGAAGAGUAGACCCCAGAACUAACAUCUAAAAAUAAUUCCUGUGCUCAACCCUAGAUCACCUAGGUAAACCUACUGUUUCACUUGCACUUAGACAAAUAGUAGAAAAACUUGUACUCAACGAGGACUUAAGAAUCACGCGAUGAAGAGGUACAUUGUGAGCACCUCAUAUGCUAUGAUCAUACCCUAUGACCCAUCGCUGCAAAUGAAGCACGCUCUACAGAGAGUUAUGGUAAGGGCAAUACACGCAAUGACCUGACUCAGUGAUGUAUUGCAAGUGCAUUAAUUACAAUUGAAACUCUCAAGUCCUAGCACUGAAUUUACUUAACCACUUGGCAAGAAGGCUUGUUUAGAGAUUAGUUAUGUGUUUGGAGGUUAACGUUAAGGCUAGAGAGUUUAGUUUGGCAUUUUGGCAUAUCCUAGAUACUUUUGCUUUUUGGUUUGGCAAGAUGAGGAAGAGGUAGAGUUGGUCAUAUGGAUUCGAGGUGUCCUUGCAUGCUUAAUUUAAAUUUUAGUUGAAGGAGGUGGCAAUAAAGUUUCAUUUAGAUCUCAAUAUAAAUAGGUCACUUGGGAUGAACAUUUCUUCCAAACCACCCGUACAUUUUGGCUGCAAUUAGUCUUAAAAAAAAAAAAAAAAAACAAAGUCUAUUUUCUAAGUUGGGGCUACUAAACAAAUUUGAGAAAGGGAAGUGUGAGUUUGAGUUCAUUUGACUUAUGUAUUUUAUGUUAUAAAGCUUUAAAGUGGAGUAAGGUUCUGGCCGAAUUAUGAGUUUUUGAGCACUAGAGGUUGUUGGUCGAGUGUCAGUGGUUUCUUCAAAUGCUGGGGGUGAAUUUUGGACUCCAAGAGGUUUUUGAGGCGUUUUGGGCCUGUGUUGGACAUAUAGGAAGCGUGAGAUUCUGCGCACGCUGGUAAGGUCUCUUAUGAGGUUAGCAUGCGAUCGACCUGCCAAGGCAUGAGCACAUGUGCAACCUCUGUUGCUCACCCUUGUGCGCCGCCAUGUCAAGUUGGUGUUUAUGGGCUGUUUUUAUCUUUAAAAAAAUUUAAGUAAAGUUUGGAUGUUUUUAGGGUAAAAGAGAAUUAAUUGGAAUUAUUUUUCAUUAUUCCAGGACAAGAAGGAAUCAAAUAAGUUUAUCGACCAAGGGUUUGAAUUACUAUUUGUGAGUGAUAAAAUGAGAUUAAGUUGAUUUCUAAAUUUGAUUAUGUGUCAAAUGUUCAUAGAAAAUUUGAUGAUUUAAUGUUGAGUUUACCUUACUAAUUUAUAAGAAUAUUUCAGAAAGUAUUAAAGUAUGCUAUUUAGAGAUGAUUCCAAAGCAUAUAAUGUAUUUAUUCUAAAGUUUAUUGAUGUUUGCAAAGCCAUGAUUUACGCGCAUCAUUUCAGUUCUGAAAUUGAAAUGUUAUUGCAAUAGAAAGUUGUUUAAAAGCAUGAGUUAAAAAAGAAUGAUUUUAAAGAGAAAAUCAUAGUACUCUAUAUACCAAGUUCUCGAUUGUCAAUGUGCACAAUUAGGGGUAUAGGGUUACGCUGACCACUUAGCCAUUACCACUGAGUUUAGGCAGGAUAGUAAGACUAAAGGUGCCCUGAUAUCUUAACCGAUUUUAUUAUAAAUAGCAUGACCAAAGGUGCUCUGCUAGUUUGAUCAAGUUUUGACAGGAUAAUAAGACUGAAUGUGCUUUACUAUUUUGACUAAGUUUUGUCUAGGUAUAGAGUAUACACAGAUAAAAGAGUUUUAAGUAUGUUUUUUAAAAUGUAUUUUAUAAAACCAUCACUUACUGGGCUAUUUAGCUCACCAUUUCCAAAUUUUUUUCCACUUUCCAAGAAGAAACCGUGAUCUAAAAAUCUGACUGCUGUCUUCAAAUAUGUUGUGUGAAGUUAUAGAUAAAGUUACUUAUUUUGUGUACAUAGGUUUUGUUAAGGGUAUAAGUUCAGUUAUAGUUUUUGUUUGGUUCUAAAAAAGAAUAGUCUGUAUGUAAUGACAUUUAGCCUAAAAUUGUUUUGUUCUAAUGUUAAAAGUUAUGUUAGUUUUGUACUUGUAUUUUCCCGUUGAGUAAUUCUUAAAUUACUUAAGAUGUUUAGCAUUGAAAAAAAUAAGUAGUCAAGGUCAACUGGUGUUGUUUAGAGAAGGAAAACGACGUAGGUCGGUUUCAUGCCACAUCUCAAACCGAACAAGUAGGUACUCGAGGUGGGAUGUGAGACUUUUACUCUAAUAAGGGAUAUGUCGAAACCAUCAAUUAACGAAUUCAGAUAUGAAAUCGUGACCAAAUUCCUUGACAUGACAUGGGUCAUUACAUUAAUACUCACAUAACUAUUGAGAUGAGAGUUUUAUUUAUUUGUUUGUUGUACAUCAAUUAAUGUGAGUGGGGUCUAACAAGAUUUCUUUCCAUCUCAAAUGAAAAUUAUGGGAUUCUAUUGCCAAUUAAUAAUAGAAGAAAAGUAUAUUAUUGUCUAAAAAAGAAAUCAGGGAAGAAAAUGAGUGCUUGUUCUUGUAUGAACCAAAUAGGAUCUAAUUUACAAUAAUUGGUCUUCAUUUCCUCUUUUAUCACAUUAACAACAAAUUAAAGUUGUUAUGAUAGUGUAUGUUUGUAUAAUUUUAUGAAAAGGGAAUAAAGUAUAUUAUUAAAUAAUAGAAAAUUAUUAUGUGAUUGCUGAGAACAUUGCCCAUGUGAUAUUUGGGAUCUUUCUCAAUUUCCUCCUACUCUUUCAACUUCUUUCUAAACUUACAUAUCUUCCAUAUUACCAAUUUUUGUUUGGAAAUGUCUAUAAGGUAAAAAAGUGAAGGCACAAUUAUUUAACUUUACUUUUCAACACAUAUACUAUUAAAGUAUUAAUAAUAAUAAAAAAAAAAGGCAACAUUAAGUUUAGUUAUGCUUUUGCCGAACCAAUCAUGGAUAUAACUAAUCGAUUUAGUUAACUUAACUACCCAUGUAGUUAGGGGGUGAUUUCGAAAAAAGAAAAGAAUAUAUAUAUAUAUAUAUAUAUAUAUAUAAUCUACCAAUAGUCAAGGGUUUAAAGUGAAAGAUUUAAAUUAGGGUAUUUGAAGAAAUAGUAAAAAAAAAAUUAUGAUAAAAAGGUAUAUGUCACUCCAUUUUCUAAAUUGGAAAAGUAGAAAAUUUAAAAAUCAAUAAUUCUCUGAUAGUCCUUUAAUAACCGUCUGAUAUUCGAUGUCAGUAAUUACUUGUUAUAUUUGUCAUGUUCUCAAUAUGCAAAAAAGAGGUAUCAUAGACUUUUUUUUUCUAAAUGUUUUUGUCAUAUAUUGCAAUUUUUCUUUAAAUAAUUUGGUUAACUUGACUACAAAUAUAGAAGGACGUAAAAUUGAGUAUAACCAAAAUUUUAAAUCUUGUUUUUUUUUUGUCUAACGACUUACAUCAUUAAUUGCUAUGUAUCAUUAAUUGCUAUGUAUCUACAUAUUAACAUGGGUCUUUUAAAAUAUAUAACAAACCGACAAAAUAUUUAUAUCCUACGGAACAACUUCAAAAACUGAAAAAGCCUAACAUGAAAAAUACCAAAAAUGUCAUACAAUUAAUGGACAUCCAACGCGUAAUAUAUUUGGGAAACCAUUGUUUAGAUUUGACUAUUCUUUUCUAGACGAGCCAAAUCUAAAUGAUUUAUUUUUUUUCAAGAUUCUUUGUACAGGAUCACUUAAUUUAGAUUUGACAAACGAUCGUUUAGAUUUGACACAAUUGUUUAGAUUUGAUCGUUUAAAUUUGAUAUCCAAAUCUCAAUGAUUUUUUUAAAAAUUCUUUGCUACACGAUCGUUUAGAUUUGACACAUGGUCGUUUAAAUUUAUAUAGCCAAAUCUCAACGAUUUUUUUUCAAAAGUGUUUGGUACACGAUCGUUUAGAUCAUUAUCAUUUAUAUUCUGCCAACGAUCGUUUAGAUUUGGCUAUUUUUUAUACGUGAUCGUUUACAUUUGACAAUCCAAUAUUUCAACGAUUUUUUUUCACGAUCUUUUAUAUUUAACAACCAAAUAACAAUUUGAAAAGAAAAUUGCAGAAGAAGAGAAAAAGACAAUGGAAAAGAAAAGAAAAAUUCCAAAAAAAAGAAUGUGAAAGGAAUGACAAAAAAAUAUAUUUUUAAAAAAAUGUAGAAGAAGAGAAAAAGAGGAUUGAAAGAAAAAAAUUGGAGAAGAAAAGAAAAGCACGACGGAAAGAAGAGAAAAGCUCGAUGGAAAAAAUUUCAAAGGAAGAAAAGAAAAAAAAUCGUAAUAGAGAAGAGAAAAAAUACGAGGAUAAGUAAGAACAAACUUAAAUUUUAUUAAACAAAUGAUCAGUUUUAUUAACAUUUUCAUUUUGUUACCAGAGCCAUAAAUAUUUUUUUGGAUUUGUUAGAGUUAAAAUUUCCAUAUUAACCUUGCCAGCUAAAUUCUUGUAUACUAGACAAAUUCUUUACAUAAUAUUUUCAUUUAUUUAUAUAACAAUUUUGCGAGUGAAUUUAUUGAUUUAAUCACCUCCUAACAAUCAUGUUAAUCAUCUUUUAAAAAACAUAAUAAAUAAUAAAUAAUUUACCAAAAUAUUUACCAAAAUGUCAAAACAAAACAUUUGUUAUUUAAAAUAAUUUUCAUAAUGUACAUAUUUAAAUUAUAGAAAAUUAUUUUUGUAGUUGUUCAUAAUUUUGGCUACGUGACUUAAACUUUAAGUCGUAUUCCUAUUUAGUUUUUAAAUUUUAAAAAUGUUUAAAUUCCUUCGACUUUUAAAGAUACUUUAGUUCCUACCAUUACAAAAUUAAUUGAGAACUCAAAAAUCGCUUUGUAUUUAAGAUUUUGAACUUUUAUUAUUUUUAUUCAUUGGUUGUUGUUGGUUGUUGGUAUUUUACUUUUGUUCCCUCGAGUUAAGUGUGAUGUAUAUUUUUUUUCUUUUUGAUGAACUAACUUCCAUAUUCAUUGAACUCAUAUGUUACGUUAUUCAUUCUUUUAGAGUUUAUUUUUUAUAUGAUCUACUGAAAAUUGAUUUGAUUGGCUUGAAUGUUUCAAUUUUUUUAAUUUCUUUACGAAAAAAAUAUGUGAAAAUAACGGAGGAGAAUGAAGGAAAUAAGUAAUACUUAAAACGUAUAUAUGUAUGUGUGAAUUAAAAUACAUAGCUUUUUCUGAUGUUGAUUAAGUUGGUUUGCUUCACAUAUAGUAUAUAUAGUUAACAUGAUUAUUUGCAUUUUAAAUUUAGAAAGGAAAGCAAAUGUAUUUAAAAGUGUAAGAAUAAAAAAUAACUUAAAAAACAACGUACACUCGUAUUUAGCAAUAUUUGUUAAAAAUGCAUAGAAAAGAUGCAACUUUUUGUAUCUAAAUGAGAGAGACACACACACACAUAUAUAUAAAGAAGGCCAUGGUUAGGUGUCGACAACAGAACGUUACAAGAACGGCCCAGAAAAGAAUCAUGAGGGCUCACAAAAGACAACACGUCCAAAAUAGGUCGAGGUGAAUGAUGUGAUUGAUUUCACUAAUUUCGGCCAUUCUUUAUUUCAUGUGUUUUGUAAUUCAUUAGAAGUCGGCAGAAGUAUGCUUUCAGAACCACAUUACAAGGACGGCCUCAAAAGAUAUAAAAUCAAAAGAGAAUUGGAGAAUCCCAUGUUUUCUCUUCUUCUUCCUUCUUUUUGUUUUAUCAUCUAUUUUGUUUUAUCAUCUAUUUUGUUUUCGUCUUAGUUAUAACCCAUUUAAGGAAAUUUUUAUUUUCAACUUUUUUUUCUUAAUUUAAUUUUUGCAACCAAUUAACUCAUAUUUACUCCUUUUUUACUAAAAAAUGUUCUACUCUGUCAUUUUCCUUUUUUACUGCUCUAUAAAUCGUAAUGAUUUUUAAUAACAGGUAAAUUUAUUUUGUAACUAUUGACUGUGACAGAUUAAUUACAAUCAUAUUCAUAUUGGUACUAAUAUAUCUAACAUCUCAUGUAAUUGUUUCAAAUACAAUCAAAUUUCUCAUUGCGUUUUUUAUUACCACUUUCAUUUUAGGUUAUAUAUUUUGUUUCGUUGUAAUUAUAGAACAUAGAACACAGUAAUUAAUUAAGAAGUAUGUUAAUGAAGUGAGUAUUGAUUUUUAAGUGCGUUAUAAAACGACUAUUACUUCAAUUUUAAAUCCUCAUAUAUUUAAAACACCUUCACUUGAGCUUUGAUGUGGUAAAUUUAGUUAAGUUCCUUUAUUGUUGAGAAUGAAAAAAGAGCAAGAGUGGGAAUCACACCUAUAGAAAUUUGUAUAACAAUUACAAUCUUUCACUUGACAUAAAUUUGUUUUAACUGAAAUUGAUCUCUGUCAUUUCUACCUUUACGUGUUUUCUUAUAACUGUCAUUCAUUUUCUUCUUAUUCUUACCAAAGACAUGGCAAGCAAUUUCGAAUAAGUAAUUGUUAUCACUCUAUUAAAGCUUAACUUGGUUCAAUAAAGCUUAACUUGGUUCAAUAAUUUAGAGGAAUAAUUUAGGAGAGGAUGUUGAAGUGUAAUACACUUAUGGAAUGAUAUUGCUUAUUUAUUCCUUUUUAAAUAUGAGUAUAAAUAUUUUUUUCAUAGAAAAUUAGAGCUUAUAUAUAUAUAUAGUGACCAAAAAUUAUAAAUUUACUUAUAUCUCAUCAAACAUUUAUUUGUUUGUUUUUUUAUUCAAACUCUCGUACACCAACUAUACCAAAUUUACUAGAAUAACUUUCAAUGCAACUAAUAUAAUAACAUGAACUCUUAAUUACCAUGUUUAAGAAUCAAUACAAUAUCUUCUAACCACCUCCCCAAAUGGAGAUGUCUUUUUAGUAAAAUCAAAUCACUUGCAAGUGAAAAGAAAAAUCAUAAUUGAUUCAACUUGAAUCAAAUAGUUUGGUUUACAGAGUGGGCCAAACCAAACCUCUUCCAACUCAAGCCAUAUACUUUUAUAGCCCUAGCUAGUCUCAUUUUGGUGAACAAAUUCCUUUUGAAUUCCUUUAGUUUUUUGUUUGAAUAUCACAUGUUCAUUUCUUAGUUCAAUGGUAUUAAAAUCACUAUCAAAUGAUGUCGACAUUGACAUUGAAGCUAGAGUUAGCAAGCUAAGAUGAUCUCUCUUCCAAUAGCUUUGGCAUGCCUGCUACUCCUUUUAGAAACAACAUCUUGGCUGCAAGUUGAAGAAAUCUCUCUUGAGAUAUGGUUACAAAUAUGGAUGGUAUCUAUGAUAUUUCUUGUGUAUUUAUCCAAAAAUAUGAGUUGAUCAAGAUAGGGAUGAUCAAUAUAUAACAACUUAUACUCUAUCUUCUUUUCCUUAAUACCUUUUGUUCUUAUCACAUAUCAAUCAAAUUUUAUUUUUAUUAUUACAUAUAUUUAUGAUAAAUAGUUCAUAGCACACUUUUUCAAGGUAGAACACAAAUCAUCGACUUUAAGAUUAUUGUUAUAAUAGUUUAUUUAUUUAUGUGAACUAUGUUCAAAUUCAUCGUUUCAAUAAUAUAUAUUUUGGUGAAGUGGAGGUCUAUUGAUGCAUUUGUUCAAUAUAUUUGUUGUUAUCCGAUAUUAUUAUUGGACUGCCAAUAUCUUAAAAAGAAAGAAGAAGAAAAUACUUACUAUCAUUUUUAACCUAAUUCUAAUGACUAAAUUUAACAUUAACAACAAAAAAAAGGUAGUUUAAGGAAGCUAAGAAAAAUAUCCACCAAGCUAAAAAAAAAUAAUCCACGAGAAUUCAAUCUGUAGAUGCAAACUUGAAGACGUCGGCACACAAGUUUGGAAUUACGACUUCAUACCAUUUGGAGCUUAUUUUGGUUUUUGAAAUUUCAAAAUAUCACAAACGUUUUUAAUAUAAUUGAAUUAUAUAUAUACGAAGGAUUGGUUAUGAAAAACAAGUGGAUCUAAUACAGAACAUAAUAUUAGACACGAUGUUGGGGAGAAUAUGUAGGAUAGGUGAACAAUCAUGAAAGCAAACAUAAAUAUAAAGAUACAAAUAUUGAUAACUCAAUUCGAUGAUGUCUCAUCCCUUCCCCGAUCAUUGUUUUAACUUAGAAAGAGGCAUGAAAAUUACUCAAUUAUUACUUUUUUUCAUCCUUUAAUUCUCUAACAUUUCCCUGCCUAACCUGAACCACAUCUAAGUAACAAUAAAACAUCUACUCAUUCGUACAUUCACAGUAAAAUUACAGCAGCAUAAUUUUGAACUUUCAUCCACAACUCAAAACUUACACUAGAAACCCUAAAACCAACUUAUAAUAUUUCUCACAUACAACACUUCAAUCAACACAAGCACCACCCCCCGUAUGAGUUCUUUAAAUUAAGUUACAUGCAACAUAAAGUUCCUAUCAUACCUGAGUUCUCACUACAAAAACAUUAGCUUUUAGUGUUAUAUAUAAAUAUAAAGUUGCUAAAGAAAAGCCACUAAAAUCAGUUAUUGUGUCACUAAAACUUGAUAACGAAAGACUAAUUUUAUUAAUAGUGUCUCAAAUAAUGUCCAACUUCAAGUAUGUAGGCAGAUUAAGAUCUCAGUAGGAACCUGGAACUAUUCUUCUGCCGUUGGAGGGAAAAGAAAAUAUUUUAAAUAAAGAGUGAACUGGGAAGGAUACUAAAUUUUAAAGUUCCAAAUCAGAUAAACAUUUAUAAAAAGUUUUGGAAAUAAAUCUUCAAAAUAAUUUAGGAAAACAAAUAUUAUAAACGGAAAUUGCAUAUAAUAGCAUUUUGUGAAUAUGAUAUAACAAAUAUAGUAAAUUGUUUUAGAAUUUUGCAAAUACGGCAAAUUUGUCACUUACAAAAACACUGUUAUUAUUUCUAAACUACCCUUCAAUAAAUUAUUUCUUCUCCUCUUUUAAUGUUCAUACUCAUUAUUUAUUUAUUCUCCCACCUUUUAAGACCCUAAUUAUUUGUUUAUCCUUAUACUAAAAAAAAUAUUUAGGGUAGUUGUAAUUGAUAGUCAUUUGUGGAAUAAUAAUUAAGGAUAUAGUAAUAUUUAAAAAAAUUGCAAAUAUAGCAAAACUAUCGUUGAUAGACUUGUAUAGUUGAUAGAUUCGUAUGAUCUAUCAGUGAUAGACCAAUAUAGCCUAUUGGUGAUAGACUUGUAUCAUUGAUAGAAUUUGACAAAUUAUGUUAUAUUUACAAAAAAUUUAAAAUGUUGAUAUAUGUUUAACAAUUUUGAAUCUAAUUGUUAAAUUUGCAACUAUCCCAAAUAUCUAUUCUUAAUUUCUGUCUUAAUCUUGAUUUUAGAAUAUGAAUAGUACAAUAAUGCAAUAUGAAAUUUAAUGGUUGUUGAUAAGAGAUUUAACUUCAUUUGUUUUUUUUUUUUUUUACUUUCUUCGAAGUGUAUUUUGAGUUGAAUAUCUGAUUCGAAAUGAUUUUAUUUUAUUUUUUUACAUUGAUUUUGUUUUGGUUUUACGCUUUGUCUCAGUUUUGUAUAUUAGUGUUGUGAUAUACUUAUAUUAUAUGUAUUUAUUAGUUAAUAUAUUUACUACGUGAUUUUUGUUUUUUCAAAAUUUAUGCAGUUCAUUAGUGUAUUAUUAAGUAUGUGAAUUAACUUAGUGUAUCAUUAUCAAGUAUAUCAACAAUAUAUUGUUAAAUCAUAUCAGUAAAUUGAAUCAUUAUCAAGUAUAUGAAUCAAGUUUACAAAUGUAUAUCAAUAGUAUAUCAAGUGUAUAAGUAGGACUCAAGCAUAUCAAGUGUAUUUAAUCAAUCAAAUGUAUAAGUGAAGAAUACUAAGUGUAUUUGUAGUGAAUCAGGUGUAUCAAACAUAUCAUGUACAUCAAAUGUAUAUCAAAUUUGUUGAGUUUACCAAUGAAGCAUAACAAAUUUAUUAGCGGUGUAUCAAACUUAUAAGUGAAGUCUUUAAGUGUAUCAAAUUAUCAAAACCUAAGGGGUAUCAAGUGUAUCAAGAAGAAUCAAGUGUAACGCAUUAUAAUGUGUAUCAAGAUGUUUCAAGUGUGUAUAAAAAUGUAUCGAGUGUAUCAAAGAGUAUUAGAUGAAUCAAUUGUAUCAAUCAAAUGUAUCAGGUGUGUUAAUCAAAUAUAUCAGGUGUAUCAUACGUGUAUAAGGUGUAUCAAGCGUAUAUUAGUAACAAGGACAUUUGUGAUAUUUUACCUAUUGAUGUGUGAGUUGAGCUUUGUUUUUGCCAUUUUCGAAAAUAAUAAAGUAUGUGUGCUAUGGACUUAAUUAUUUUAACUUAUUUUGCCAUUUUUUUGCAAAUGUCCCUAUUAUAAACAUCAUAGUAGUUUCUCAUAACAAAUUUGUAAGUGUUCAAAUCAUUUAGCUUGUAGCCAUACCUAACUUACCACGUAAAAAUACUAACACCAUGACCAAGCCCAACACACCCACAUUCACGUAGUUAAGAACACACGGUCGACUCAGCUUACACAAAUUUCACAACCAAGUAGCGGAAAAAACUAGGAUAAUUACUAUUAUGAUAAAAUAGUGAAAGAAACAACAACAAUGGAUGGAAGGAACCAAUAGUUAACAAUAAAGGAUAUAACACACAAAACAAUAAGUAGAGAGAGAAUUGAAACACAGAACAUUAGUAACCCAAUUCGAUGACACAACAUCUACGUUUGGGAGAUCCUUGACUCGAGAUCAAAGAUUUUAAUUCUUUGAUAUAUAAACCAUAAUCAACUUAUUAUGAGUCUGGGUACAGAGUCUCACACUAAACUUCUUCACUCAGUACUAUCAGUGAUACAAUAUUACAACAAGUAACACUAUCACUAAACUAUUUCAAAGAUAGAUUUGGCUAACCAAAAUCUCCCCCUUAAUCAAGUUUAUCGUCAACCAAUAGAUUCAGGUAGUAAAUAGAGGAACUCUCCCUGAAUCAUGUCCUUCAUCAAGACAUAAACAAAAAGAUCUUUUAAAUCAUCCUACUACAUAAGCUUGAACUUCGGAUAUUGUAAUCUUAGCCUAAACGAUAACUGAUACAAGUAUCAACAACAAAUCACAACAUUGAGAGAGGACUUACACGCUUUGGAUUUCAUGAAACUGGAUGUUCAAUGGCAAAGUCGUUCCUCACAAAAACUAUCUUCUUACACAGCAACAGCGUCUCUCUCAAUCUUGCAAAAUGAACAUACAGAAUAAUGUCCACACGCGUAUAACAAUCCCAACGAAAAAUCUUCAAUAAAUAAGGAAAUAAUCUUUUAAAAAAAGAAACCAAACAAAAUCUCUUUUCCAUCAUAAUAUUCUUCACAAUAUUUCCUUAAACAAAUGCUUUUUGCCACAACAACCAAGAAGACAAAACUGAGCAAAUAAAAUAUUCACGAGUCCACAAAUAUUCUAACAAACUAUCCCAUGGGACUAUCUUUCUCAAUUUGUUUAGACAUGCAUAUCAAAGAGCCAAUAAACAACCGAAGCACCAUGAAACAAGGAACUCAAAUGAUUUCAUAAAAGAAGUGUGACAAUUUCGUAACAACCUUGACAAAUCCCCACUACAACAAAAACUCUCUACUCUGAUAGUUAUUUAUAUCACAAAAUAGAGGAAGAAAAAAAAUUGUCAUAAAAGAAGAAAAAACGUGUUUUGACGGGAAAAUGCGAAAUUUUUCAGAUAAUACUUUUCAUAGAAAAAACCCUCAUUACUUUUGUGCCCGUCUCUUCACUCUAUUGGUCGGUUAGUUCUCAUCUCUGGACAAUGCCCAGUUCUGUCACUGCCAUCGUCCCCUCAUGCUCGUCUCUUCACUUCAGCGCCGUCGGAACCUCCUCUACUGAACGACAAAACGUCCUCUUCCUAAUUUGUUCAAUUCGUGCCCGUAAUCUCCAAUUUGUCACAAUCUCUUCAACAUUUAAUCAGCAGUCGUCACCUCCUCUACUGGCAAGUCGCCUAUUCCUUUUCUAUUUCUCUCUCUCUCUCUAUGAAGUUGUUCUCUGUUAGUUUUUCCCUCAACUCCAUGGGUCAUCUGUAAGGUGUGCAAUUUUCAAUUUUGUCUGAAUUUCAUCUUUUAGGCAAACAUUCGUACAUGAUGUAUGGGAUUUCUCAGGUUUUUCUUAUCUUGUUCUUGCCUAUUAUGAUAAUGGGUGAAAUGAGUUUUUCUUAUUUGUUUGCUUUCUUUAUAAUUUUGUUAUAGUUGUGGAUUUCAUUUUCUCGGUUGCUUAUGGAGUUGUGUUCAGUGAUGAAUUUGGUUUGUUUUCCCGUGUAUUUGAAGUGGAAUUUUAUAUAUAUGAAACACAAGAUCUUGAUGCUUUGUUUAUUCAUUUUGUGGAUACUGUGUUAAUCUUUUAUUUUAUUUGUUUAUUUGUUAUAAAUUGGAAUGAGAAUUAUAAGUUAUAGAAACUUUUGGUUCUAUAAUUUUUACAAUUUAGUUGGUUUAAUUAAUGAGAGAUGGGGUAGGAUAAGGUUUCUUCUCCAAUGUUUUUUAGAAUAAACUUUAUAUAUAUAUAUAUAUAUAUAAUGAUAAAAGUCAUUAUUCUAUUGAUCAAAUGAAAAAAUAUAAUAUUUGAAGUCAUAACAAAAAAAUAGAGGCAAAGUUGAUAUACCAAAAAGGGGUUACAGUUGAGAAUGAGAAACAAAUGAUUUUUUUUUUUUCAAUUUGUUAAAUGUGGAGGUGGAUUGUUUUUCUACUUUUCUUCCAAUUCUCAACUUGAUGAACUUCGAGGACGGUGAGAAAUUUUGAGUGGAUUGAAAACCUGAAAAAUAUUGCUAGAGUAGUUGGUAUUGAAAUUUAGAGGAUCAUUGGAAUUAUGAAGUAUUGUUUAGGAUACUUUUGAGAUUAAGCUGAAAACCAACGGUUAAGACUAAGAUUGAUGUUGAUUAAAAUACUUUCUCGGUAGAGUAGUUGAUGACAAUAUUGUGAAGUCUAAUAUGUUUCAUGUCAUAUAGUUUCCUACCGAGUAGCGACCCCGGCCCUAGUUUCCUACCGAGUAGCGACCCCGGCCCUCUCUUAAUAAUGUUUUAGAAAUUUCAAUAUUGAGUUGUGACCUCUCUCUUAAAACACGCUAAUUUCAGUGAUCCCCUCUCUUAAAACAUGAUAAUUUCAAUGUCGAAGUUUCUGCAAAAACUAAUAAAUUAAAAGCGCGAACUAUUAUUGUGUAGGCAUGCUUUGGUAGGUAUGCUAUGGACAUUAGCUCUCAACUCUCAACUCUCAUGCUUGUUUUUGUUUUUUUUUUUUUUUUUUUUAUGAGUUGAUUAGCUAUUUUGGAGAUAUACUUUUGUGUGUGUUUGUGUGUGUGGUGGUUUUUCUUGCCACAAUUUAAUCAAACUUAGCUCUCUAUAUAGUACUACUUUGUAUUAUGCAUAUCAAAUAAAUUAUUUCGGGACAAUAAUACUCUUCAACGUGCUGUAAAUUUGAUUGACAUUUAAGCUUUUUAAGGGUGGUAUAUUUAAGGAUUAUGUACCAUUUUGAAAGUUUAAAUUUUAAAAGUUGUUCAAAAUCUCUUUGUAAUCAAGUUUAUUUAGAAGUCAAUUUAGAAGAUUGGAUUUUUAUACAUUUACACGAUGAAUAAGUGAUGGAUGACGGAAAACAGUAUGUGAAGAGAAUACAAUUUAAAAAUUGAAAGGUUCAUUCAAUUUAGUUUGAGUGAUGCUAGAUGUUCUUUAAAUUAAUAAUAUAGUUUAUGAAUUAAUAAUAUAGUUGUCUUUCUUUGAAUUAAUACACUCUGCCUCAUAGUUAAACUAUAUAAUGGUGGGUUCUACACGUAAUAGGACUGUCAAUCACAUAAUUUAUCAAAACUGUACUUUACAAUUUCGAUAGUUUAUAAAUAUCUACUACGAAAAUUUUAAAAUUACUAAGUGGCUGUUCAACCUUCAAAUUUUUUAUAUCAAACUAAACUAAAUGAUUAGAAAGAAAGAAAAAACAAAUUUCUAACAUAUCUAAAACAAUUAAAGUAAAAUAUAAUAAAAUAAAUCAAAAUAUUUAUUAAUAUAAUAAUUUUAUAUUAAUUAUAAAUAUUGAUAGACUUCCUAAUAUCUUUCAUUUUUUAAUUAAGGUCUCCAGAGACUACUACUACAAACAAAGCUUUAACAGAGGUAAAUAAUAUUAGUUUUAUCAUGAGACUAGAAUCGAAAUAAAAAUACGUUCGGCUGCAUGGAAACCAUAAAUGAACUAAGUUUCUAGAGUCAGAACAGCAUAAUUCUUUAGUAGUAGUGGAAAGUUAAUGUGGAUAUAUAUAUAUAUAUAUAUAUAUAUAUCUAAAUAAAUUGUAUAUAAAGAAGAAGGAAAAGAAAAGCAAAUAGGUAGAGCUAGAAACGAAGUCUUCUCCUACAUGCUUCAAAUGGAGGGAUAGAAGAAGAAUGAAAGGAGGAAAAAGUUGAAGAAAAAUGCAUAAUAUCAGUGAGCAUCUCAUCAAUCAAGUCUCCGUAAAUGUGAUGUUGUAAAGCCAUACCUAUUUUUGCCAUCUCAUGUUUGAGUCCCCAUGAUAUUUCCUUUGAGAUUUCUUCCAAGCUCUCACCCAUCGCCUUACUUCUCCAUGUUAAUGGUUGAUCUUCAUCUUUUUCCUGCUGCUUCUUUUUUUUCUUCAUAUUGAUCUCCAUUAUUAUUCUUGAUGACGCCUUGGCUUCUAAGUGAUCAAUGCUACUCAUUUGCUGCAACUUCAUGAUCCGCUCCUGUAAUCUGGUAAUUGGGUUUAUGGAAGAUAUGGAGAUUAUUCUGUCCUCUUCAAUUAUUGCUGCUGGAUUCUUCUUCUUUGGCUCUUGCUUUGUUUCUUCUCCACCUGCCAAAGAACAAGUCAUCAUUCCAAACCCACCUUGCAUUAGUUUUUUACAUUAUCGGGUUUUUUUUUUUUUUUUUACUUUACAUGACAUCGAAACUUUUUAUAGAAAGGACAUCAUAAAAAAAGAAAACCAAAGAAGUAUAUUAGGAGAGACAAAAAUGAAAGGGAACUUCUAUCGUCCAAAAAAUGAAUUUUCCAAGAGCGUGCUCCAAAGCCUUGUGAGAUUGAUGGAUAUGGGAAAAGGAAAUAUCUCCAAAAUCUGCACCAUAUCACACUAAUCUCCACACGAUAACAAAAUAAUAAUAAUAAUAAUAAUAAUUCAGAAAUAUUGACUCACAUUUCCAUUUAUGAGUUUAAUCGCCUCAAAACAAUCAGAUUCAACCAAAAUUAGGUUGUAAAUUAAUUUUCAGUGCCUCAGCAAGUUGAACGGAAAGAGCUUUCACCUUAAAAACUUUGACAUCUCUAGCUACAAUUAAAAAUGUGUCGCAUUUAUAUAGAAUAGUAUCCCAAAUCAUCAACUCGAAUCACCCAUGCAUCAUUCUAGGUCCCAAAAAACUACUUAAACAGAGGUGUGUUCUCCACCCCUUGUAGGUUAGAAAAAGUUCUAAUUGAGCAAAGUGCCAAAGCAUUCUAUCGAACAAAUUUCUCCAUAUACUCUCUUCUCUAUUCCAGAUUCUAGUCUUAUUUUCCUUUUUGUGGCUUCAUCCAUGGAUAAUGAAAGUUAUAGUCCAAAUUUUUUUUAUAUCCAAAAGUGACUGAAGUUUGUGGGUACACUCACCAUAAGUGGGCAUGUUGACUAUAUUUGCAAUUUAGUAAAUAUAAUAACAUAGAUUCUAUUAUCAUAAAUAUUUUUGUUAUUUUUGCAAUCGCCGUUAUAUAUAUUAUCUAUAAAUGAGAGAGGCCACGAAACCAAUCAAGAGUACAUGUGUUUUGUUGAGAAAAAUCAUAAUCUCAUGUAAGUGAGAAGAAGAAAAGAAUAAUCUUAGUCCAAAAGCAAGGACCAUAGUUUAAUUAAUGUGAGAAUUUUGAGGAAUCAAAAUAAAACAAGACCGUUGGAAAUAUAGCUAGAUCUACUUUAACUUUUUGGUCUCAAAUAAGUUGAAAAUCUGAUCAAUGAAUUGAGGUUUAAAUACCUAAAUAAGUCCUCAGCCUUUUUUUUUUUUUUUCAUUUUCUCCAUGUACUUUCAAAUCAAUUCAUUUUAUUCCCUACAUGCUUACUUUCAAUUUUAGUUUUUCAACUAAAAUCACAUUCGAAAAUGAGAGAUAUCCUAAGGAUAAUGAAAAUACAUAUGGUUAAGAUAAAGAAAGACUUGGCUUAAAAGAAUUUUAUAUUAGGGAAAGGCCUCAAAAGUUUACUGAAAAGUAUGUGCAUCAUAAUAAAACAUGCUAAAAUAACAUGAUAGAGGAACUAAAAAAAAGUGACAACUAAUAAUAUGUAAGCUAUAAGCACACCAAAAGAUAAAGGGUUGAAGAGGGACUAAGAAACUUCAAUGCAGAAAGAAAAAAGAAAAAGAACAAAAAUAAAACAAAAAACAAAAAGCAGUUCAAAUUCUCAUGGUAAUAUAGAUUAGAGAUAUGGGUGGUGGGGAUAGGAUAAUUGGCUGACAGAUAUUGGCCAGUGGGAGUAGGAAGAGAAGCUUGUAAACAAUGGCUUUAGAAAAAGCCUGUGGUUGUGUUUACUGAGCAAGAAAAAGAAUUAAAGCCAUAUAUAUAUCUACUGCUUUCUUAUUUCUGAAAAAGUGAAAGAGCCUGUGGCUGUAUGUUCCCCCUAGACCUUUUUAAAACAAUAUAUGACUGGCUGAAUCAUUACAAGUCGUUGCUAGCUAUUUGUUUGUUCUAGGCUUGUGCGGAACAGUGGUCCACUUCAUCCAUUAUCACAUUUAUACUAAGGAUCCUUUGGUAUAAACGAUACUAAAGUGGAAAUGAGAAGAAAAGGAAGAAGAAAUUGGGGAUAAAAUAUUAACAAAAUAUAUAGUGGUGGAAGAGGAAUAAAAGUGACAUUUCGUAAAGAAUUCAACGACUAUCCUAAAUAAUUUCAUGUUGGACCUCGAAAUUCGAAAAGCAUUCUAUGUGAAUUGAGAAUAGAGGAGAAGUGAUCCUCAGUCUCUAUACUAAGCUCAAAAAAGUUAUCUGCAUGUUUGAAAUGAUUUUUCUUUCUUAGUGUUUAGAAUAUAUUUCUUUAAAGUAAAUAUUUUUCAGUACUUAAAAAUAGUUCCAAACAAUAAUCAUUCUAAAAUCUAAUCUAUCAUAUAUUCAUAUAAAUACAUCUACACAACGUGAGUAUAUACAUAAAUUUAAUUAAUGUUGAGUUUCUUUUUUAUUAUUAUAUUAUUUAAAUAUAUUUUACACUUUUAAGAAGCAUUACAUAGUUAAUCACUCAGCAACAUCAGUUUGUUGCCUCAAACUAACUCAAUACUAUCCUUUAGAAUUUUGGAUAAUCCUUUUAAGCAAGAGAAAAUAUGACUUAUAAUAAUUUGUAUUUAAAGUGGAAAGUAGUUGGGAGUUAAUGAAGGUAAGAGAUAGAAAUAGAAUAUAGAUAAAUACUGUUAAAAGAGAAAAUUGAAAUAGUAAUAAUAUAAUUAACUGGAGUUUAUAAUAUAAUAGUUGUUAAAGACCUUAAGAGUGAGCAAAUGAUAAUGUCUCACUCUCCUCAAUUGAAGUUGGACCAAUGAGACCUAAGAAACUUAGGUCUCAAUUUUGAUAAAGUCAGUCAAUGGUAGAUGGCACUAUGGUUAUUUGGCCAUACAUGUAAUAAUUGCAUAUGGAACUAAAAAGUAUUCUACUAUGUCCCCUCAUGCCAACACAGCAGUAAAAGCACUGAACCUAACAAAUGCUAUGAAGGUUGAUGUUGGGAAUCCUACAUUUUGGCAUGCUAUGCCCCUUCUACUUUUCCUUCAAGAACCAUUUCUCUUGUCUUUUUCUUGUACCUAUUAGACUAAUAAUAUGGACACCACCCUCAAGCUCAAGCAUAUUUUAUACAAUCUGUACAGAUAUUAAAUAAAGACUAAAUUAUAAGUUUUGAAAAAAGAAAUCCUAAAUUUUGUUCUUUUGGAAUAUUAUUAUGGAACGUUUAUAAGGUUCUAAAACCACUAGGGAUGAAAAACCAAUUGAGACUUUGGCGGUGACUUAAAAUAAUUGGCUUAAUUCGUAAUUUUGUUUUUAAUUAUUAUUGGCUUAGAUUAAUUAAAACGUAGUUUCUUUUCCUUUUCUUCUAAAAUUUUCUAACCCCCUCCAGAUGUAGUGUUUCAUCCAAUCAGUAAUUAAGCAUUUGGAUUCUUAAAAAUUACUCCAAGAAUAACUCAAGGGGAAAGAAAAGUUGAGAAAACAACUGCAUUCGUGUGAAUUAUGAGGUGAAAUAAAGCUGUCCUUGUUUGAUCUUUUUCUUUGCCUGCAUGAGAUUCCUAUAUAGUUUUUCUUUUCUUUUCUUUUUCACUUUAGCUACUUUUCCUGUAAUUUUGUGGAGGUGGUGUAACACAGUUUUAUAGGUUAUAGAGACAACAAAUGAUAUGCUCUUAAAGCAUAGUACUUUGGGUGGGUUGAAUGCACCCAGGAUCCUGGAUCAUAUUUUUUAAUAAUUAAACGAAUAAUUAAGAUCUUAUUUGAUAACCAUUUUAUUUUUGAAAAUUAACUCAUAAACACUACUUUCACCUUCAACUUCUUUUUAUUGUUAGCAACAUUCUAUCCGUAGUUUAAAAAACCAAGUCAAAUCUUGAAAAAUAAAAAAGUUGUUUUUGAAAAAUUGUUUUGAUUUUCGAAAUUUGUCUAACAAUUCAACCAUUUGUACUUCAGAAAAAUGUAUCAUGUUAAGUCAUAAGAAAGAGAUAGGUUUAAAUUUUUAAAACAAAAAAAUAUAUAGUUAACAAAUGAAGCAUAAAAUAUUUCAUAAAAGAAAAAAAAAAUUAUCACAUGAAUUUUUUUAACUGAAUAAUUUAGUAGAAAACACAAAGUUGAAAUGUUGGAAAUGGAUCUAGUACAUAUUUUUCAUUUUAAGAAACUCAAGUUCAAUGUUCAAUUACGAGCUGGUAUUAUUGUUAUUAUUAUUGAGAAAAUAUAUAUCCCAAGGGAUUAAAAUCCAAAGCUUGAUGUUAACCAUUCAAAAUUUCAAAUUUCAAAUGUUAACUAUAUAGUAAUGGUGGUAUAUUAUUGUGUUUUUUAAGUUUUAAAGUGAAUCUUUUGUACUCACGAACAUUGUAAAAAGAUGAAUAGUUUAAAUGGCUAUUAAUCAUCCCUGGUUGAGAGACUUGAGAGAACUUAAUCCAAGUUUUUUUAUAUAUAUUUAUAAAUUAAGUACAAUUAAAUAAUGUGUAGUUCUCAAUUUAUAUUUAAUAAUGUUAAGAAUUUUCAAUCGAGUAAUACUAUUAAAAGAUCAUUGUACAAAAAGUUAAUUAAUAGUUUUAUUAUGGAAUUUAAUGUUUGAUUAAACAUAUUUGUGUUUUGAUAUUAGAAAUUUCAACAACAAAAAUUAAGCUAAAUAUAAUAAAUCCUAAUCCCUAUGAUUUGUCCUUAUAAAGUAUUUAGAAAGAUAACGUUUAUUAGAUCAUAAAAGGACCAAAUUGACAGUUUAAUCAAAUUUUUAUCAGCUGAAAAUUUUAAAAUAUAAUUAUUGGGAACAGAAUGGAGAGCUGUAGACACUUAAAAUUUCAAUUGAGUUUUAGGGUUUAGAAAAAGAAAAUUAAAGUUAAAGUUAAAGAACUGAAAGGAACGUACCAUUUUCACGCUGUUUGGCUGCACGGUUGAUUCUGUUCAGAUGAUGCAAUCGACUGCAAGGCUUCUUCUCCUCAUCGCUACAGCUAAAGUCUCUACACUUCCGCACUGAAAUCCUUCCUACUUUAUCUCCAUUCACCCCGUUCCCCGCAAUUUCCAUCGACGGUAGAUGAUCAAUCUCCGGUGACCGAAACGCCAUGAUUAUCUUCUUCAGAGCCUUCAAAUCAUUAUCACAUUUCUCCAACGCUCCCAAAAGCUUCCUCCUCUUCUCUCUUGACGUUUCUUCCGCCGCCGGCACAGCUUCUAGUCCCAUCAAUCGUGCUACAAGUGCGGGAGAUUUUCCGAUCUUCGUCGGCGGGUUCACUGAACUCGAUCGCCUUAUCUCCACCGAAAGGGUCGGACUCCUCGUCGGCAAAUCGAAGGAGAUUCUUUUCCGACUGAAAUCAACAACCUCCGUUCCUUUUCCUUCUCUGUUUUUGUCACUUCGUGACCUUCGUUGUCUCUGUGGCGGUGGAGUAGCCGGGGAAAUACUGACGGCAGAAACUGAGGUAUGAUCGGAAUUUUGUGAAGUAGAAGAAAACACGAUAAUAUCCUUCUCUUGUUUACUCUUUCCUGAAAACAUCGAGAAAUUCAUUGUAGUCAACAUACGAAUUGUUGGAUCAAAAUGAAAGAAAUUAGAGAGUAAUUAGUAAUUGACGAACCGAAUGUGAGGGAUUUCUUGUGGCGGUUCUGGUACUUGGAGAGAAGAUGAAUAAUGCCGGACAUGCAACCGAUGCUUUUAGCUCGAAGACUCUCCGGUGGAGGAUCUCGGCGGGAAGUGGACGAUAACUGACUGUUCUGCCUCUUCAUUGAUUCCAAGACUCUCCCUCUCUAACAGCCUCCUUCUGUUUCUAUGAUGAAGCUCAACGGCAACGGAGAGAGAGUUUGUUAAAGCAACUGCCUCUCUCUCUCUCUCUAUAUAUAUAUAUCAUGAAUUCUUUAUUAUUUAUUUUCCAAUAAAGUUUUCUGUAUUUGUUUAUUGGAUUUCAAAUAUGGAAAUUUUUUGUCGUGAUAGCCACAUAUAAAAAUAUUAUUACCCUUUAUUGUAAAUAAAUUGGGAUAUUUGGUUAUAUUUGUAUAUAUUUUUAAGGGUUAUUGCACAUGUCACAAAAUUAGUUCGAUAAAUUUAGAUACAUAAAUAUGCAAAAUUACAAAUCCACCAUAUAGAAUUAUAAACAUUUUCACGGGUCGUCAUUUAAUAUGUUGUUGAUACACCUAUGUGUUUUUUAUACAUUUGUUAUGCUUUACUGAUACACUAUGAAUUAAAUAACAUCUUAUACACAUCAUUUGGUUUGAUACAUGACUUGAAGUGUUGUUGAAUACAUUAGUUAAACUUUGCAAGUACACUCAUUCAAUUAUAUAUACUUGAUGGACUAAGCAUAAUAUGUUGUAUUGUUGUGAUGUAAAUCAAAUAAACCUAAAUCUACUACUUUCCAGUUAUUUGUUAUAUUUAAAUCUCCUGCUUUCUAAUUUUUCUAUUACAUUUUAGUUCUUUUGUUAGUUAAGAUUUAUUAUUAAUAGGUUGUUUGUUACUAUCUAUUUUUUCUAUAAAUAGAAUACAACAUCUCACAUUCAAAGAUAUAUUCAUACAAAAUAAAAAAGACUUUUUGGUUUCACACCAAUUGGUAUCAGAGCACCAAAAGUUAGUUUUUGAUGCUCAAAAUCAAGAUGCAAAGGACAACCCCAUCCUCUCUCCAAGAUCUACCUCGACCCCAUCCUCUCUUCAAGAUCUACCUCGAGACACUUGCUGUUCGUGGAAGCUUCUGUGGAAAGAAUCGAAAAUACACUUCAAGAAGUCUUGCAAAGACUAGAGGCAUUGGUACCCCCUCAAGAUGUUCAUCAACAAGAUCAAGAACUUGUUCGUGACUGGGGGCAGUGUGGCAUCCGUGGUGCUAGAAUUCAUAGGGCUGAAAGAAAUCAUCAAGAAAGGAGAUAUGAUGCCCAAGAAUGAAGUAGGCCAUUUCAAAACUAUCAAAAUCUUUUUCUAAGAAACUAAGAAAUGUAUCAAGAAACUAAGAAAUGUAUCAAGAACCUCAAGAUUGGAGUUCCUUUGAUGAUGAGUUGCAAGAAAGGCCAUUUUUCAAUCUGAACAGAAGAUUUCGACCUCAGUUUGAUGAAAGAAGGAGAGAACCAACAGAAUACAAGAUGAAAGUUGAUCUUCCAAAGCUACGAUGGCAAACGUAAUAUUGAGAUUUUUCUUGAUUGGUUGAAGAAUACUGAAAUUCUUUCAGUUAUAUGAAUACUCCAGAGGUAAAGAAAGUCCAUUUAGUAGCAUUAAAACUGAAGGUUUGAGCAUCGGCUUGGUGGGAACAACUUGAGGUUAAUGGGCAAAAAAAUGGGAACAAACCUAUUGCCUCAUGGGAGAAAAUGAAAAAAUAAUGAAGACACGUUUCCUUCCUUCCAAUUAUGAGCAAACUCUUUACAAUCAGUACCAUAAUUGCUGGCAAGGAGCAAGAAUAGUUGCUGAUUAUAUAGAGGAAUUUCACCAGUUGGGCGCAAGAACCAAUCUAAUGGAGAAUGAGCAGCACCUUAUUCAGUUGGGCGCAAGAACCAAUCUAAUGGAGAAUGAGCAGCACCUUAUUGCACGGUUUGUACGAGGAUUAAGGUUUGACAUCAAAGAAAAGGUAAAAUUACAACCUUUUUUAAAUCUUGCUGAUGUUAUUACCUAUACAGAAUCCGUUGAAGAAAUUAUUGAAUUGAAUUUGAAGAAAAAUACAAGAAGGGGACCAUGGAACAUUACUUCCAAAUAAGUUGCAAAUCAAUCCUCUAUGACUUGUUAUAACAAAGAUCAAGAGAAGGAUAAAACUAAUGAGACAAAUGGAAAGAAGCAAGCAGAAAAUGCCUAUCAAAGAUCGAAUUUAAGCAAGUGUUUCCACAGUGGUCAAACUGGUCAUCUCUCAAAUGCUUUCCCUAAAAGAAAGACGGUGGCUAUUCUUGAAGAAGAUGAAGAUUAUGUUGAAGAACAAGAAGAGGAUCUCUCUCAAGAAGAAGUAUUAGAACCCGAUGAUGGAGAGAGACUAUCGUGUGCGCUGCAAAGAGUCUUAAUUACUCCAAAAAGUGACACCUCUGACCAGCAAAGGCAUAGCCUUUUCAAGACCCAAUGUAUUAUCCAAGGCAAAGUGUGCAGCAUGAUAUCAUUAACAGCAGCAACAGUAAAAAUUUUGUCUCCAAGAAGCUUGUGGCUGCACUUAAGAUGAAAAUGAAGCCUCAUUCAAGUCCUUACAAGAUUCGGUGGAUCAAGAAAGGUGGUGAUGCCCAAAUAAAUGAGGUUUGUUCAGUCCCUUUAUCAAUUAGAGGGACCUAUAAGGAUCUGAUUGUGUGUGACGUCUUGGAUAUGGAUGUUUGCCAUAUUUUUGGAAGACCAUGACAAUACGAUAUUCAAGCUAUUCAUAAGGGGAGAGAGAACACCUAUGAGUUUCAAUGGAUGAACAAGAAGAUUGUGUUGAUGCCCCUAAGCAGGAAGAAUGAGGAAGUAGUCAAUCAAAAGAAGGCUAAAAGUCAUCUUUUCAUCCCUGUAAGUGGAAAGAAAUUUCUAGAAACCAGAGAAUCUGAUAUUUUGGGACUUGUUAUUGCAGGCCCUCAUACUACAGAAAUUUCCAGCUUGAUUCCAGCAAAGGUGCAAGACCUAUUGAGCCAAUUUCAACCUAUAAUGGAGGAGCCUUCUAAAUUGCCUUCCCUUUAGACAUCCAACACGUUAGUGAUUUGAUACCUGGCUCAUCUCUUCCCAACCUUGCUCAUUACAGAAUGAAUCCUAAGGAGUAUGAGUUCUUACACCAGCACAUUGAAGAUUUGUUGACAAAAGGGCAUAUUCAGACAGCACCAACCCUUGUGUCGUACCAGCUCUAUUAACUCCAAAGGAUGGCAGCUGGAGGAUGUGUGUAGGUAGUCGAGCCAUCGACAAAAUUAUGGUCAAGUAUCGUUUUCCUAUUCCAAGAAUUAAUGAUCUCCUUGAUCAAUUUGGAUGAGCUCUUAUUUUUUCAAAGGUAGACCUAAGAAGCGGAUAUCAUCAAAUUAAAAUAAGGUCGGAAGAUGAGUGGAAGAAGACCUUCAAGACUAAUGAGGGGUUAUUCGAAUGGUUAGUGAUGUCUUUUGACUUAUCAAAUGCCCCAAGUACCUUUAUGCGGUUGAUGCACCAAAUGCUACAUUUAUUCUUAAACAAAUUCAUAGUAGUCUACUUUGAUGAUAUCAUAAUCUAUAGCAAGAAUGACCAAGAUCAUAUGCAGCAUCUGAAGUUAGUUUUUGAAGCCCUUCAAAAGAGUAAGUUGUUCAUUAAUUUGAAGAAAUGUAUUUUUUGCACGGAAGAAAUAUCUUUCUUAGGUUUUAUUAUAUCUGAAAAUCAAGUGAAGAUGGAUGAAAACAAGGUGGAAGCUGUAACUAAUUGGUUGAUUCCUAAAUCAUAAAGGAGAUUCAAGCUUUUAUGGGGUUAGCAUAUUUUUACAGGAAGUUUAUUAAGAACUUUAGUUCUAUAACAGCUCCUAUGACUGAUUGUUUGAAGAAGGGAGCCUUUUAUUGGGGAGAAAAACAGCAGCACAAUUUUGACUCCCUUAAAAGAAAGUUUGCCAGCCAACUAAUCCUCAAUUUACCAGAGUUUGACAACCCUUUCGAAGUGGCAAUAGACGCCAGUGGUGUGGAAAUUGGUGUUGUCCUUUCCCAAGGAGGUCAUCUGGUAGAAUUCUUUAGUGAAAAAUUGAGUCAUUCUAGACAAAACUGGAGAACAUAUGAGCAUAAACUUUAUUCACUUGUUAGGGCCUUAAAACAGUGGGAGCACUACUUAUUAUCUAAGGAUUUUGUUUUGCUCACUGAUCAUUUCUCCUUGAAGCAUCUCCAGGCACAAAAAAACAUUAACAAAAUGCAUGCUAGAUGGGUAUCUUAUAUCCAAAGAUUUUAUUUCUUAAUCAAGCAUCAAGCGAGCAAAGAAAACAGAGUUGUAGAUGCCUUAAGCAUAAAAGAGACUCUCCUCAUUGUGCUCUCAACUGAAAUUACAACCUUUAACCAUCUUCCAACACUAUAUGAGACUGAUGAAGACUUUGGUGAGACUUGGAGUCAUUGUACUCAUUUCCAUGAUCGAGAUUAUCAUUUGGUGGAAGGUUUUCUCUUUAAAGGAGACCAACUAUGCAUUCCACAUACUUCCUUAAGGGAAGCCCUAAUAAAAGAUGCUCAUUCGGGAAGCCUAGCUGGACACUUUGGCCAAGGAAAGACUUUUCAAAUUAUCAUCAAGAGGUUUUAUUGGCCUCAGGCUAGAAGAGACAUUAAUAACUUUGUGAAAAAAUGUCCUAUUUUUCAAAGAGCAAAAGGAUCUUCAUCUAAUGUUGGUCUCUACACUCCUCUACCGAUUCCUAAAAACGUAUGGGAGGAUUUGUCAAUUGAUUUCGUAGUGGGUCUACCUAAGAUUCAAAGGGGAUUUAACUCAGUUAUGGUUGUGGUGGACAGAUUCAGCAAGAUGUCUCACUUCUUCCCUUGUAAAAAAAUCACAGACACAGUGCACAUUGCCACUCUCUUCUUUAGGGAGAUUGUUAGACUACACAUGGCAUCCCAAAAACAAUAGUUUCGGACCAAGAUACUAAAUUUCUUAGCCAUUUUUGGAAGACAUUGUGGAAGAAGUUUGACACCACCUUGAAGUUUAGUACCACUGCUCAUCCACAAAUGGAUGGACAAACUGAGGUAACUAACCGGUCCUUGGAAAAUUUAAUUCGCUACCUUAGUGGAAACCAUCCUAGACAAUGGGACAUAGUUCUCUCAUAGGCAGAAUUUUCUUUAACAAAAUGAUGAAUAGAACCACGAGCAAAUGCCCCUUUGAGAUCGUGUACACCAAGGCACCAAGGUUGACAUUCGACCUAACUAGCCUUCCUAAGGAAAUGGAAAUCCAAGAGGAAGCUGAACAGUUAGCUGAAAGAAUACAGAAACUUCACACAGAAGUCAUUGACCAUAUCACUAAAACUAUUGAGUCUUACAAAGAAGAGAAGAAUAAGAAGCGAAAGGAAGUACAUUUCCAAGUUGGAGAUCUUGUAAUGGCACAUUUGAAGAAGAAGAGGUUCCCCAUUGGAACCUAUGGAAAGAUAAAGGACAAGCAUAUUGACCUAUGUAGAAUACUUGCUAAAUAUGAGCCAAAUGCUUAAAAAAUUGAACUACCGCACAGAUUUAACAUCAGCCCAAUCUUCAAUGUAGCAGACCUUAGAAGCUACUAUGCACCAGAUGAAUUUCAGCUUUCAUAGCAAACUCGGGGCAAGUUUGAUGUUCGGGGAGUAGAAUGGUGUAAAUCAAAUAAGCCUAAAUCUACUCAAUGAUCUAUGCUUUCUAGUUUUCUAUUAUAUUUAAAUCUACUACUUUCUAAUUUUUAUAUUUUAAUUUUAAGAUUUAUUAUUAAUAGAUUGUUAGUUACUAUCUAUUUUUCCUACAAAUAAAGUACAUCCUCUCACAUUGAGAGUAGGAUAUUCAUACAAAAUAUAAAAAAAAAAACUCUUUGGUUUCACACCAUGUUGAUACACUUGUUAUCAUUUGCUUAUACACUUAUUGUGUUUUGUUCAUACACUUGGUGGAUUUAAUGCACUCAAUAAGUUUGAUACACUUAAUACACUAGUGAUAAACAUUCUAUACUUCAUCAAUACACUCAACAAAUUGCCAACAUAAGUUUAGCUCAAUUGGCAUUUGUAUGUUCCUGUAAUUUGAUGUCUUGGAUGUAUUUUGGUACAAUAUUUUGGUACAAUCCCUACCCCAGCAUUUAUUACAAUAGCUUUGCAAAAAAAAAAAAAUACACUCAACAAAUUUAAUACACUUUAUACAAUUCAUAUACACUCAACAAAUUUAAUACACUUUAUACAAUUCAUAUAAUUUGAUACCUUGGAUGUAUUUUGGUACAAUUUUCUGUACAUGUUCAUAAUAUUUUAAAACCGUUUUCAAAUGUAUUGUGUGUUGAUCUAAUAGUCUUGUACAGUUGUCCAACAACAGUUUCAUAAAUAUAUAUAUGAUCAACAAUAUUCAUCAAAUAUAGUUUCAAAGCUCUAUGUAUUGUGUGCUGAUCUAAUAGUCUUAUAUAGUUGUCCAGCAAAUUUAAUACACUUUAUACAAUUCAUAUAAUUUGAUGCCUUGGAUGUAUUUUGGUACAAUUUUCUGUACAUGUUCAUAAUAUUUUAAAACCGUUUUCAAAUGUAUUGUGUGUUGAUCUAAUAGUCUUGUACAGUUGUCCAGCAACAGUUUCAUAAAUAUAUAUAUGAUCAACAAUAUUCAUCAAAUAUAGUUUCAAAGCUCUAUGUAUUGUGUGCUGAUCUAAUAGUCUUAUAUAGUUGUCCAGCAACAGUUUCAUAAGUAUAUAUAUGAUCAACAAUAUUCAUCAAAUAUAGUUUCAAAGCUUUAUACAAUCAAUUCCAAGACUUUACAUAGAUAUGAAUAUUCCAUUAGAUUGCCAUGAAUCUAACUCAACUUAAAAAGUCAGAAAACAGACUAGCUAUAAUAAAUCUAAUCAAAAGUAUACCAAUCAACCCCUCCCCCCUUCCUCCAUAUGAACAAUUCAAAAGAAUUAUCAAAUUAUUGGUCACAAUCAUAUGUACGAACCCAGGAAGUGAGCUAACUCAACCGCAAAAUAAAUUAAAUGAUUUAACUCACACUAUACAAAUAAACCAAUUAACUCACAAAAGAAAUAGUUUGAUAUAUAACAUACUGCAUCAGAUAUGACUACUUCCCCUCGUCACAAUUUCUCUCAUAUACCUACAGUAGAUCGAUCGGAUAUUGGUUCAUGACCUAAUAAAAACACAAUAGUUUUUAAGAGUUUGUACGAGUUUGAUAUCAAACUAAGGCAACAAAUAUAACCUUUCUAGAUGCAAAAAACUUUAAAUACAACACAUGAUAUCUUUUAAAAGAGCUAAAGGUAAUUCACAUCAUAAAGUAACCUUGUUUAUUUGCUUCUCAGUCUAGCUCAAAGUAUUUGUAUGAGUUUGCUAUCAAACCAAGGCAACAAAUAUAACCGUUCUAAAUGCAAGAACUUUAAAUACAACACAUAAUACUUUUAAAAAAAACUAAAGGCAAUUCACAUCAUAAAGUAACCUAUAGUUUAGUUGAGAAAAUGACUUUACCUAGAGAUCAGCUACGUAGCACAUAUCCAAAGGAAUUUUCCUAUCUUAUUUGCAUUGUUCUAACCUAUUAGGUUAUAGUCGUGCAAGUUUCCUUGUAUGUUUUCUUGAUGUGUUAGAUAAACAAAGGACACCCAAGAGCACACAAGAGAUCAAAUUUCACAAAUGAGAAAAUGUGAGAGAUUAAUUUUACUACUUCUAAAUGACAAAAAAGUCAGAAAUCACAUGAAAGAACCAAAAGGUCAACCAGCUCAACUUGCACCCCGUCCAACUCGAUCGAUAAGUAUGAUCUUCGUGUGUCAAUCUAUAUACCAAUAAACAUGCAAAAUAAAUGAAUUAACUUAUAAUCCAAAAAGAUCAAUUAACUCAAGUCUCAACGAAUUAAAUGAUUCAUACCUUUUAUGGGUUAUACCAUUACAAAUCCUUUAAAAGAGAUACUUCAAGAGUUUUAUGGGUUAUAUAUGAGAAAAAAAGAGAAAAAAAAAAAGAAAAAAAAACAGAAACAAAAGGAAGAAAGGUAGAUAAAAUUGACCUUGAGUAGUAGUUGAUGGACCGGUAAACUUAGGCCAAGAACAUGUGUAUUAGCUAGGCAAAGAAAGUUAACUAAUAAUAAAAUAAGAAAAACAAAGCACGCAGUCAAUUAUAACGUUUUCAUACAACAUUUAACUAAUAAUAAUUCACUCUUAUGUUUGUUCAUACUCAAGUCAAUAUCACAUUUAAUUAAGCAAAAGAAGUACCUAAAAUUGCUCUACCCAUCAAACUAUAUUUAGCUUUAUCAACCUCUUCCCUUGUCUUUCACCCUCAUCAUUAAAAUGUGUUAUGUGAUAAUUUAAAAGUAAAUUGACUAAUUAAUUAACUAUCAAUGUAUUAAGAUUAUAUAUAAUUAUUAUAACUACACGAUAAUCAUAACACUUCAACACUUGAUCUAAUAAUCCAAGCCUUUAAAACUAGAGUUUAAGAAAGAAUGUAUUACCUUCCACUAUAUAAAAUAUUGUAAUAAAGCACAUCGAAGAUUUGUAUUUAGGAGUAGUUAAUCAAAUUCACAAAAAUAAAAAAAUAAAAUAUCUAAACUUAAUCUAAUACAUGAAAAUAGGAACUGAAUAUCAAAAGAAAACAAAUCUACAAUUUAUUACAUGGUAGACAGAUUUUUAAACUAAACCCAUUCAAUUUCUAAAUAUAGUCAAAACAACUGGUUUUAUAGAGAAAUAGUAGAAAAAUCAAGCAACAAUAAAAGGAGACUGAUGAUGACUUGGCUCUACAAGCUGACGUCCAAAUGGAAAUAUUUCCAUCAAAACUUUUCAAACUUAAACCAAAUCCAAACUUUUGCUCGACCAUAGCUUUCUCCCUCUUUUCAUUUUCAAAGUUUAUUUCUAACAUUUUUGCAAAAUUUUGAUCAAAUAAUGUGAAGUAGCACCCUAAAUUCCACAACCCGUGUUUUGGAUAAAUGCCCGAUAUCACAUAUGAUGAAAUUGUUUUAUACAAUGUAAUCUAAAAUAGUCAUAGCAUUUAGUCAACUUAUACCUCAACGCUUGUGGUGUAAAGACUGCCAACAAAUUAAACUUCUCCAUCUUACUCUUCUUGCCCUUGAUAACAAGAACCGUCAGGUAUUCUUCAUAUAUCUGUAUAUACAAUUCCAAUAUCUCAAGAACUUGAAACAAAAGUAACCUUUAAAUAUAUUUACCAAAUUUCACAAGAGAUCAAAUUUCACAAUUUGAAUUAGUUCUGAAUCUAAAGCAACUGAAGAAAAACAGGAUUGAUGAGGGCUUGAAGGAGGAAAAACAAAGAGGGGAAGUAGGGUUAUACCUUGAAGGACAAUCUUGCAACAUAGCCAAGGCAUUGAGCCUCUUUGUAGAAGAAAUCGAGUGCUCCUACUCUACUCAUUGAGAGAGGAAAAUUACAUUUUUAUAAAGGGAUUCAACAGGAUGAGAUCUGACAAGAUCGCUUUUCACGCCUUGAAGUCCUAAUCGACAGACGAAGAGUGAGAUUUUCGGAGUGCUGGCUUGCCACAGCUGGGCGUUAGAGCAUAAGACCAAAGAAGGGAAAAAUCGUUGGAGGCGAUCUGUUCUUGCAAUGGUGGAUUUGUGGGUCGUCGUCAGUUGUAGAAGGGAGAACCACUGGGAACUCGUAUUCGUCAUCGUGGUCGAUGUUCGCUGUCAGUCAUGGAGCUUCAUCAUUAAAGGAGAAAUUGUAAUGGUCAUCGGAAGUGUUAGGGACAGCGGAUUAGAGGCUACGUUUUCAAAGGACGGAAGUGAAGGGAUUUCGAAUGGAAGGAUUUCGUUUUUGAAGGAUACUGCUGAAGCGUCUUAGGGCCUUUUAGAAAACCAAUAUUCCAUGCGUUUUC
rnacentral:lncRNA from 1 species